CACUACUUUAAUUAGAAUUGUAUAUUGAUAGUUGUAUUAAAUGUACAAGGUGUUAUUUUUCUGAUUUCUGAUUAGCUUGUUUACUAUGUUGAAACCUUGUGCUGUUUAUACAAGAGUGUACAAAAGAUAACAUUCCCAAUUAAGAAUCUGGUUAGCCUACACACUGAUAGACUCCAUAGAUCAAUAAAUAAACACAGCAUUACAUGAUGUACAGGAAGUGGAAGAUAGCCAGAUCAAUGACACAGGUGUAAUAGAAAAUGAAGCUAGAUUGUCAUGACUCACAAACACCAUGUUGUCUGAAUAAAAUGAAAGGUAUUACCAUAAAAUGCUGCCUUAAAUUAAAACUAACUUGAAUCAUUUCCCCAAAAAAAGUUUAAGGGAGGAAAACCCUUUUUUUUAACUUGGAUUUCAAUACCUUAACUUUAUGACCCACCACUGUUAAAGAAAUAAGAAAGCUUGUGUAUACUCUCUGAAUUUUUAUACAUUCAAAAUAUUGCCACUGAAGCAGUGAUUUUUAAAUGUCAGCAUUUCUGGUGGUUUCAAGGUGGUAAUGUCACUGUAUUCAUACAAACCGUGUGGUGUUACACCAUCAUCAACUAACAAUGACAGAGUGCAGGCAUGGUAGGUUGAGGAGAGAUGCAGAAGAUAAAAAGCAGGGAUAUUCUAAACAAGAACAAAGAGGAAGAGAGGUACAAAUUAUUUAAUUGUUAUGAUCUAAGGGCAAAAGUGAAAGAGAAGUGGGAUAGAGAGUAGGCAGGGAGUGAAGGUAACAGUCUAUUGACAAAAUGCAGAGGGUACAAAUUCUUUUAAGAGGUUGUUUCUAUAUUGCAGCUACUUUGGCCAAUGGACAAGCAUUUCAUGGCACCUGAGGAGACAGACUUGGAAGAACAUGGAAAUGCUAUCAACACCUGUGAUGUUAUCUUCAGAGAGCAUACUGAAAAAUUCCUGAAACCCAGAGAUGGACAUAUUUUUGUAGGAUGCAGCCUUUGGUAAGGCACAAAUGCCCUACUACCUGUCUUCAGAGCUGACAUGGUGAGAAGUGUGGAUUAUACUAAAACUGUAGCUAGUGAUACAUAAUAAAGAUUACCACCAACUUGGGAGAAUUGAUGUUUUAAAUUGUAACUGCAGGCUUUAUCACGGAUUGCUCUAUCUUGCUUAGAGCUGACUGUGGCAAAUAAGAAAAACUAUUGCUCUCAUCCAAUCCAAUUAUUAAAGGUAGAGAGGGUAUACAAGAAGGACAAGCCAGUGAGCACACUCAAAAAUAGGAGCUAGAUGCCUUGUCAAUAGAGUUUAAAAAAUGUUUUUCUCUUUUAUUUAUUUUUUAUUAAAGUCAUCUGUAGACUUGUGCAAUUUGUUUUAGCUGAAACACUUAAUCUGGAAAAAAAAUCUGAGAAGUUCAAAUCUUAUUAAUGAAUAAAGAUUCAGGAAAACAAAUCAGAUGAACCAAAAGGGCAAUUCCUGGAACCCAGAGAUGGACAUAUUUUUGUAGGAUGCAGCCUUUGGUAAGGCACAAAUGCCCUACUAACUGUCUCCAGAGCUGACAUGGUGAGAAGUGUGGAUUAUACUAAAACUGUAGCUAGUGAUACAUAAUAAAGAUUACCACCAACUUGGGAGAAUUGAUGUUUUAAAUUGUAACUGUAGGCUUUAUCACGGAUUGCUCUAUCUUGCUUAGAGCUGACUUUGGCAAAUAAGAAAAACUAUUGCUCUCAUUCAAUCCCAUUAUUAAAGGUAGAGAGGGUAUACAAGAAGGACAAGCCAGUGAGCACACUCAAAAAUAGGAGCUAGAUGCCUUGUCAAUAGAGUUUAAAUUUUUUUUUCUCUUUUAUUUAUUUUGUGGCAAAACCGACCUCGCCACUGGGCAUUGGAGAAGACUGAUUGCCAGCCUCCUGCCAUGUGACUAUGGCCCCUGGGAUGUAUUGCCCUUUAAAGACAUGAUUUGGGCAUAAUGGAUUUGUGUUGUGCUGCUGUUGGCCCUUUAAGAACCAUCUGGGGACAUACUGUGGAGUUACUAGGUGGCCACCAUUUCCUGUAUCAGAGGCACAUGGUGAGAACAAUGGAUGAAGCACAUGGUGAGAACAAUGGAUGGUGGCCAUUUUAACUCACAGACACUGUUUGGACUUUUCAACACGGUGCCAUCUCGCCAGUAUUUGGUGCACAGAGACAUUGGGCAGUGGUUAUGGACUAUACAACAGGGGACACCUUAUACAGUAAUUGUAUUUCAUAUAGCCUGCAUAUGUUCUGUAAAAUCUGCAUUAAACUGUAUCUUCCAAAGUACUGAAAUGAUCUGGGUGAAUUUUGUAUAUGUUCACCCAGAUCCCCCGGUUCCAAGGAUAUACUUUUUAUGGGGUUAUUGCAUGUUUUGGGGUCCCUGUGAUGUGUUUUAUGAAACUGUAUUUCUCUGUCUGUGAUAAUUAGAUUACCCAUUGUGUAAGGUAAUUGUAUCAGAGGCAGAGGGGAGGAUUUUGUGUGGGAGUGUCUGAGUGUAUUGUACGUGUUAUUGGUUGUUCUGUAAAACCCUGUGGGCAGUACUAAGUUUGUGGAUUGGGAAUAAAAGAGGCUGUAUGUGCCAGUCCAGACAGUUCCUGCUUAACCCUCAAAGUGAAGUGUCGUCUCAUUAUUGGGGAAGGAUUUAUUGUAUGCUGUUCCAGUUUGACUGCUAGGAGUCUAAACCCAUCCGUAUGGUUUUUGCCUAUUCAGCUGCUUAUAGCAUUCAUAUGCUUGAGAGAAGGUAUACGCUUCUCUGGUUCGGUGAUUGUGGUGUCUGCCAGAGUGCUUGGAGUCCUCAGGAAACGCUAGGAGCAUCCUUUAAUGGAGGUACCCAGUCGGGGUGCCAGGUGAUCCGUUCCAUAUUUUUUAUUAAAGUCAUCUGUAGACUUGUGCAAUUUGUUUUAGCUGAAACACUUAAUCUGGAAAAAAAAUCUGAGAAGUUCAAAUCUUAUUAAUGAAUAAAGAUUCAGGAAAACAAAUCAGAUGAACCAAAAGGGCACAAGAACAGGCCAGUCAGUGUACUGAAAAAUAUUUACAUAAUCAUCAUUCAAGUCUUUUUUUCUGGUGUCAUGGGCAGAAUCAAACAAAUCAAGCAAAUGUGUGCAAUUUGUUUCAUUCACAAGCCACAUAAAUUUGGUCAAACUGUAGUUCAGAAUAAAAUAAUUUUUUAAGUAUAGUUAUCUCACAGAUUAGUCCUAUAAGAAAAGUAUGUACAAAAAAUAUAAGUGAUGUCAGUAUCAACAUAUCAACUCAGCUAAGAAUGGACAAAAGCUUAUAGAAACACAAUAGCAGGAGCAACACCUUUUGUAAUCGAAUCUGGUGAAGGAUCUUCGCAAUCGUUGCGAACUGUGGGAAAGCAUAAGUUCCCCAAUCCGGCCACAUUUGUAGUAAUGCAUCCAUUGCUGUGCUCUCCCGGUCAAGUAGCCAACUGUAAACAUUCAGAAGCCGUUGAUUGGUGCAGGAUGCAAACAGGUCCAAGCAAAAUUGAACCCUCUGAUUAUCCAAGGCAGCAAACACCUGAGGAUCCAGUUGCCAAUAGCUGCUGUCCUCUAGUGGCAAGAUAACCAGUCUGCCAUGCGGUUGGUGUCCCCUGGGAGAUGUUCUGCCUUCAGUGUUAUGUUGAGGAGAAGACAGUAAUCGAAGAUCUAUUUUGUGAGAACCGAUUAACGCCUGGGAGUGAGUGCCUCCAAGUUGGUUGAUGUAGACUGUGUAUGACAAUGACACCUGCAAAUAUCUCCAGACUGUUGAUAUGCAGGGAGAGUUCAUGUGCCGCUGCUGACCAGCCCUGCCAAAAACACCCGUGGAGAUAUUGCCCCGGAAAAUGUCUUAUUGAGGAUUGCACCUUAUUUAAGGAUGUGAAGACAUUAAUGUGCUUGUUUAGCUCUUUCAGAAAUGCCUCUCCCAAAAGUUUGCCUUGUGCCUGUGAGCCUAAUUCAUUGGCCUCAAGAUCAUACAACUUUUCAUCAAUCGUAAAAGAAUGCUAUGCAGUGUCUCUCUGAAGAAAGCACCACAUUCGUAUUGCACAGAAAACAAAAGCAAUGUUGGGCCCAUUCAAGAAUGUUGUGCACCCAUUCACGGCUCAUACCCACAUAAAAGGAUUUGGCUCAGGAGAAGGGGUCAGCUGCCAAAUACAUAACACUGACAAAGCCCAGUUGCAUCCAGAAGCUUGUCUUGUGCUCCCUUAAACCCUUUAUGUGGGUCUCUGCCACCUUUGCCCUUAAACAGCUUGACAAUGCUGGGCGGAUUUGUUCCUCACAGGAGAAAUCUGACUGAGCCAAAUCAUAUCUGUAAUGGGAGCAUUUAGGUGCCACACAUUGACCCUUUAAUUAGUAAACACUGCUUAGGAUCCAGGAACAGGAUCCAACACAACCUAAAAGACCCCACAACAAACAAUAAAAUGGAAUAUUGAGAAAACACAAGCUAAAACACUAGACUAAAGUAAUUAAUGAGGUAAACCCAAAUUUCUGACCUGACUUGUGAUGGAGCAGCAAAGAAAGAGGAAGUAUCUUAGCUAUAGGUGCGUCUUAUACACUGAACUUUUUUUUUCAGAUUGGUUCUUCGUUUUUUCAAUGUUCGUUGCUGCUAUGGAGUAAGCAAAGAAAGUUUAUGCAAAAUAUGAAGCCUCAUGCCAUGUAGUAAAAUUACUCUGCAAACAACAUACAAACAUUUAGGCAUGGGUGUUCUAGAGAAGGGGUUCCCAACCCAGUCCUCAAUUUAGGAAUUAUCCUGUUGUGCCUAAAGGGUUUUUUUUUUUUCUAAAAACACCUUAGACACAACUGAGUAAUGCCUAAAUCCUGGACUGUUAGGGGGUACUUGAGAACUGAGUUGGGACCCACUGUUCUAGAGCAACACACUACUCUGUAAAGCAUUGCACCAACAUACCAUAUAAAUUCAGACAUUGUGGUUGACAUCUUCCUAGACAAAAAAAGUUUGUAAAACAGUUGGCAAUAUUUGGAAAAUUAUUUAAUAGAUGGGGAACUAGGAACUGCAUUGUUUUGGCUCCUUUCCAGUUUGAGGAAAUGAUGAUUUCAAGUUUCCAAGCGGGAUUGGUAGGCUCUAUCAGAUAAAUGAAAUUGGAGAAUAGUCUGACCAAGUCUACAAGUCUGGCCACAUACUUUGGCCUCCUUUAAAAUGCACAAAAUGUAUGCAAUAGAAAAAGCAUAUCACGCAUGCAAGAUAAAGAGUAAAAUUUCACUUUUGGUGUAUUGUUCACAACCAAUAUAGGUAGUUGGAAUAUAGAAGUGAGACUGGGCAUAAGUUGCACAUCCCUAAAUAAACAUUUUUCAUAACUACCUAGUUAAUGGUAAAGGGUCAUACCCAUCAUUACCAACCUUUACUGAAAAAUCCUGUACUGCCUCUAAAAUUAUUGCUAGGGUCACACUUUGUUUUGUAUUCAGCAAAUUAUUACUUAUAAUAGUACAACAAUACUUUGCAUUAAUUCCCUAUACAAUGGUAUAUCUCCCAACCUCUAAGAUGUCUUUUAGGUGUGCUAUUAUUAUUAUUAUUAUUAUUAUUAUUAUUAUUAUUUAGUAUUUAUUAUUAUUAUUAUUAUUUAGUAUUUAAUGAAAUGUACCCUUAAGUCAGCUACAAGCAUUGGUUGAUUAGGUGAAAAUUGUCAGGGUUUUAUAUACUAAUCUCCCUAGAGAACUACAGAUAUACAGGAUUAAGAGAAUGUAUGAAUCUUAAACACAUUCAUGUUGAGGAUAUGCAUUCUGUCACAGAUUACAGUGUUUGGAAGGGGAAAUGUUGAUGCAAAGAAAAUGUGCUCAAUAUACCGGAAACAAGGAGUCCAUGUUUGUAUCUUAUUGCUCCACAAAAUUGUGAGUGGUGCAAUUUGUACAAGUUGAUACGUUUGGGCACCAGCUAUAUUAAUCUCAAAUUCUUGUCAACUGCUUAACUAUAUGUCCCAGUAUCCUCUGUCAGAUAGAGGCUUAAUGAUUAUGUUUAUCUAUAUUAAAAAGUAAGGAGCAUGCUGACUGCUUGAGCCGCUUCCUGUUCUGGGCUGCUCACUGUGUAGAUGCGGUAAAGACUAGGGAUUAGUAGCAACCUCCACACUUUCAUGUGACAAUACUUUUUAUUAUAUUUUAUAUUUUGUUUUGCAUUAAAUACAGUACCUAUCUAUAAGUUCAAGUGUUCCACUUGCAACAAAAUAUAAAAUAUCAUUAUGCACCAGUUUGUCAAAAAAUUAUAUUUCAAACAUAUUUUUAAAUAGUCAUUGUGCAGAUUGCUAAACUGGUUUGUCUUUUUAUUAUACUUACAUGUAGAACUACUUUAUUCAUUCAGAGGUGGCUGUUUUAUCUGCUGAUGCAGAGGCAAGGGUCGUGACAGUAAUGUAUUCUGCCGGUGAAACAUAUUAAAAACUGUGUAGAUUCAGCCUUUAAACAGCUUGACAAUGUACAUCAUAUGCUAAACGGUUUGUCUUUUUGGGUAAUUAAGCUAGAGAUCAUUUGAUGUGUCGAUGUGGGAAGUUGAUUACUUGUGGUCAACGGCUCUUUAAGUGCGAUUCAUUUUAUCUCACAUUCUGUAGUGAAAGAAUUAUGACAUUUUAACGUUUUUUAUUAUUAUGCGCAUGAGUGGAAAUGUUGAUACUGUAAAAAGAUAAAAUGCCUUUUGUGUAAUGAUAAACCAGCUCAAUUUAAUGAUGGAAACUAAAAGCUCUGGUAAAAACUGCUUAAUUUACAAGCAGAUUUUAGAAUUACAACAGAAAUAUAGACAGAAUAUAAUUUUUUUAUAAUUUAAUUUCCUGUUACUUUAAUAUAAGUGGAUAAAUAUGCUGUUUACGAAAAACUGCAGUAAUUAUGAACCAAAUUAUUUGUGUUGUUUACAAAAAGCAAAUAAGCCAGAUGUUAACCCAGAGACUUUGAGAGAAUUUUACUCUUUGAUAUUCUUUAAGAUGAACACCUACCAAGAUUUCCACCUCUUAUUUUUUAUGUUUUGUUGUACAUUUAAAUAAAUUGAGUUAGUUUAAGAAGCAUCAUAUUAAGAAAUGCACGUUCUGGGUGUGACAAAGCUAUUUAUUCUUUUAAAGAUUAGCAACUUAAAAAAUAAAUAAAUAACUUUACAUUUAAAUUAAUAAACUUACCACUGCUGAAAACACACCUCAAUGUAUUAUUUUUCCUAAUUAUAUUAUAUAUCCUUGCAAUUAUAUGAAAAUACAGUUUACACAUUUUUUUUAUUGCAGGUUUGUGAAUCCUAGCCUGCCAUUAUAAAUGCAGAUAGGAAAUUGGCAAAUAUUGCACUUUUUUACUGUAUGACCUAGGAUACAGUAAAUGUGAAUAUAUUAUGAAUAAUAAUGAUGUGCGAGGGGUGUGGUGCGAUGCGCUUGUCUCUUCUAAUGGCUGACCAUUCAAAGUGUGAGGUAUUGUGGGGUGAGGUUCGGCUAGGAUUAUCAGCGGGUCAGUCCCCCUGUCUAGACAUGGUACAUUGUGUAUUGGUGAUGCAAAGAAGCUAGCUUCAAUCCAUACCCAUUGGGCCACGUUUUUUGGAUAUGACCAUUCGUAGAUCCUAGUGAGAAUAAUGUCUUUGUGAUAUGUUUCUAGGUCAGGUAGUCCGAGACCUCCCCACUGUUUACUCUUUAUUAAACAAUCAUAUUGGAGUCUUGAAUGUUUUCCUGCCCAUAUGAAGUUGGUGAGUAGUCAUUUAGAGUGUGAGAAGAAGGAUCUGGGGAGUUUGAUGGGUAGGGUUUGCAUUAUAUACAAAAACUUAAGGAGAACCAUCAACUUUAAGAUAUGGAUUCUGCAGAGCCACCCGAAUUGUGGUUUGUUCCAGGUCUUUAGUUCAUUAGCUACCUUGUCUAAUAGGGGUGUGAAGUUAAGGUCGUAAAUGCGUGAUAGCAUGGUAGUGAGCUGGACUCCUAAGUAUUUAAAUGACCCUGUGGGCCAGUGAAAUGGGUAUGUUGCAUUUAGUGUGGAUUGCAUGUUGCGUGAUAGGUUCAGUGGCAAUAUUUUACUCUUGCUCAUGUUCACCUUAUAGUUAGAGAGUAGAUGAUAUGUAUCAAUUUCUUUCAGGAGGUGUUUUAGCGAGGCCUCUGGGUUUGAGAUAGUGAAGUGAAGGUCAUCCGCAAAUGCAGAGACCUUGUAUUCUUGCCCUGCCACUUUAAGGCCUGUUAUGUUUGGAUUGUCCCUUAUCCCUUGCAAGAAUGGUCCCAUGGUAAGAAUGAAUAGAAGUGGGGAGAGGGGGCAACCUUAUCUUGUGCCAUUGGUAAUGCGGACUACUUCUGAUAACUGUCCGUUUACUCUUAUUCUCGCCCCCUGGGAGGAAUAGAUGACUGAUAGCCAUCCCAUCCAAUUCUGACCGAAGCCUAGAGCCUCCAUUGUGGCCUUGAGUAGGGACCAAUCCACCCUAUCAAAAGCCUUUUCCGCGUCUAUGGUCAGAAUUAGGCUCUGGGGCUGUUCCCGUGUAGCUAGGUGUAUUAGACUUAGGAGUUUUGUAGUAUUGUUUUUGGCCUUUCUGCCAGGCACAAACCCCGACUGAUCUGACUAAAACCACUACUACAAGGACUGAAUGGAUCAGUCCUUGUAGUAGUGGUUUUAGGCAGUUAGCCAAAAUCUUAGUGAAAAUUUUUAGGUCAUUAUUUAUGAGGGAGAUUGGGCGGUAGCUCCCACAUUCCUCUGGAUCUUUUCCAGGUUUGGGUAUUAGCGUUAUGUGGGCUUCUAGGGAUUCAGUUGGGAAUGUGUGACCCGAGAUAAGUGAGUUGAAGGCAUUGAUAAAGGGUUUUUGUAGGACGUCUGGGAAGGCUUUGUAAUAUUUGGUUGUGAAGCCAUCCGGCCCUGGGCUUUUGAUGAAUUUGUCAGCUGUCAAGGGUCUGUCUAUUGAUUGUCUGACGUUUGGGGGAAUCGUUUGUGUAAUCCGAUUGGAUAGGAACUGGGCUAUGUCUUCCGUGGGAGGGGGGGGUGUCUGGCGAAGGUUGUAGAGGUCUGAGUAAAAGAUGUGGAACUCCUUGAGUAUGGUUGGGAGAAGGUGGGUGUGGUUCCCGUCUUUUUGUUUAAGUGUGGUUAUGUAUGGACAGUGUUUGCUCUGUUGGAGGGCUUUGGCUAACAUCCACCCGCAUUUCCCUCCUUGGGUAUAGUAUGAGUGUUUAGUGCGUGUUAGCAUUCUCUUAAUUUUAGAAUUUAGAAGAGUCUGUAGAGCAGUGUGCUUGCCUACUAACUGCUUGUAGAGUUUGAGAGAUAGAUUAUUUUUGUGUGUCUGUUCGAUUUGGCGAAUUUCACUCAGGAGAUCUGCGAUUUGUGCUUCUCUCUGCUUUUAAAUUUUAGAGGCUAUAGCUAUGAUGUGCCCUCUCAUUACUGCCUUGUGUGCCUCCCAAGUUAUCGUCGGGGAGAUAGAUGGUAAUGUGUUGUCCUCAAAGUAGUGUUUUAGUGAAUCUGAGAGUGUUUUCAUCGUGAUUGGGUUGUUCAGUAGAGUGUCAUUAAGUUUCCAUUGGAAGCAACUGGGUGUUAGGGAUGGAAUGUGAAUGACUAGGGACAUAGGAGCAUAAUCUGACCACGUGAUGGGGCCAUAUCUGCAUGACUGGAUGAGGUGUAAGUGUCUGUGCUGGAUGAAAAGCAUGUCUAGUCUUGAGUAUGUGUGUUUGACUGUGGAGUAGAAAGAGUAAUCUCGCCUGUGUGGGUGUGUUCUCCCGCAGUCGACUAGGUGGGUUUUAUCUUAAGUCGAGUGUUGGAGUUGUAGGUCAUGGAGCACGAUGUCCAGCUCUGAAUCCAGAGACAUGUUUAGUUCACCUCCCAUUAGAAUGCCUUCUACAUGUUUGUCGAUCAUUAGAUAUGUGCAAUUCGAAUUUCGGGCAAUUCGGACAUUCAGGCACUUCCGAAUGUCCGAAUAGAUGAAUUGCCGAAUUGCCGAAUUGUCGAACUCCCGAAGUUCCGAAAUUACAGAAUUUCCGAAGUUCCGAAGUGCCAAAGUUCUGAAGUGCCGAAGUUCCGAAGUUGCCGAAGUUCCGAAGUGUCGAAGUACCGAAGUACCGAAGUACCGAAGUACCGAAGUUCAGAGGUGCCGAUGUACAGAAGUUCUGAAGCACAGUAUUGCCUAAGAACUAAUAUACUUACCCAGUGGAAGAAUGAAGAAUGUUACACUGUAUACAAUUUUAAAUAAAAAGUAUACAAACAUAGCCAGGAUUCAGCUGUACGCAUUUGCAACACUUACAACAAUCAGGUAACAUACAUUCAUAUAAAAUGUAAGAUACUUACCCAGUCAAUGUAAUGACAGGAAUGAAUAAGUAGAUAACUCCCUAAUUCCCACGGUAUUAGAGAGCUAUUUACUAAAAGGCUGAAAGACCUAAAUUGGUCUUUCAGACAAAUUUACUAAUACUAAGUAAAAAUUACGUUAUACUGCGAGUAGAGGCAUGUCUACUUUAAAAAAAAAAAAAGGAAAAGGCCCCCCGCCUGAGCCCCCACCCGUGCCGUGCGAGUGGGUUGUCCUCCUCCCUGGCCCCCACCCCUGGGCCUUCCCCCACCCUGCAGAGCUCAGGAGCCCUCCAUGGGUGAAGAAGGAUUAUUUUUUUUUGUGCUUUUUUAAGUGCGUCGGUUAUUAUGGAUUUUUUAUUUGGCCUUUUUAGGGGCUGAAAAAAGAAGAUUUUAGAAGAAAGAAAACAGCAAAUGGUAAGUUUUAUUUUUUUUACAGGUACUUAGUUAAAAGUCCCGCCCUCAAUAUUUUUAGGGUGAGAGGGGUAGGUAGGGGUUAAUUUUUUUGGGGGAUGACUAAGGGUUUGGGGACCCCUAGUCACCUGGGGGGUGGGGGACAGGAGGGAGGACAAUAGGUCCCCCCCUAUUGGUAUUUAGGGCCCCCACCCGCCGCUGAGGUGUGGGGGCCAGGGGGAGUACAUUAGGUCCCCCCCUUAUUAGUAUUUAGGGCCCCCACCCACCGCUCAGGGGUGGGGGCCAGGGGGAAGGACAUUAGGUCCCCUCUCUUAUUCUAUUUUAGGGCCCCCACCCACCGCUCAGGAGUCGGGGUCAAGGGGGAGGACAUUAGGUCCCCCCCUUAUUAGUAUUUAGGGCCCCCACCCACCGCUCAGGGAUGUGGGCCAGAUGGGAGGACAUUAGGUCCUCCCCUUAUUAGUAUUUAGGGCCCCCACCCACCACUCAGGGGUGGGGGCUAGGGGGGAGGACUUUAGGUCCCCCCUUAUUCUAAUUUAGGGCCCCCACCCACCAUUCAGGGGUGAGGGCCAGGGGGAAGGACAUUAGGUCCCCUCCUUAUUAGUAUUUAGGGCCCCCACCCACUGCUCAGGGGUGGGGGCCAGAGGGGAGGACAAUAGGUUCCCCCCCAUUAUUUUACUUUAGGGCCCCCACCCACCGCUCAGGGGUGGGGUUCAGGGGGGAGGACAUUAGGUCCCCUUUUUAUCAUAAUUUAGGGCCCCCACCCACCAUUCAGGGGUGGGGACAAGGAGGAGGACAUUAGGUCCCCCCCUUAUUAGUAUUUAGGGCCCCCACCCACCGCUCAGGGGUGUGGGCCAGGGGGGAGGACAUUAGGUCCCCCCCUUAUUAGUAUUUAGGGCCCCCACCCACCGCUCAGGGGUGGGGGCCAGGGGGGAGGACAUUAGGUCCCCCCUUAUUCUAAUUUAGGGCCCCCACCCACCAUUCAGGGGUGGGGGCCAGGGGGGAGGACAUUAGGUCCCCCCUUAUUAGUAUUUAGGGCCCCCACUCACUGCUCAGGGGUAGGGGCCAAGGGGGAGGACAAUAGGCCCUUAUUCUAAUUUAGGGACCCCACCCGCACCUCAGGGGUGGGGGCCGGGGGGGGGCAAUAAGGGGGCCCUUUUUUUUUAACAGUGAGCAGCCAGAGGCAGUAUAGCGAGUAGUGGCAACAUUUACUAAUACAAACUAAUUUUUAUUUACUUUUACAAUUUAGGUCUUUCAUCCUUUUGGUAGAUAACUCCCUAAUACCGUGGGAAUUAGGGAGUUAUCUACUAAGCGGCUGCAAGAGAAGUCCCUGUUACGGUACCUCCAGUAAUAAAUGUACAAACCGCCGUUUAGUGAAUGCUCCCCGUUUGCAAUAAUGUGGUCUGGUAGCGUAUGCAGUAUAACCAUGCGAACCGCCAGCUAGGGAACACUCCAAACUCCCGAACGGUACCUGUACGGCUCUUUCCCUUUAUGAGCUCCAAAUACACGAACUGCCAAUAUUAGCCGAACGCAAAUAUCUUCCAAGUGGCCAAUAGUUCCAGUAAGCAGUCUCUCGUCGCCGGUAAUAAAAUCCCCCCAAUAAUGAGACCAAGCUCCGCUUUGAGGGUAAAACACGAACUGCGUUUACUGUGGGCUACCUGCCCGUAUUUAUGCAGGUCUCCCACUUGGUGGAAACUCCCCUAGGGGACCAAAUGGGAGACUGAAAUGACAGAAGGACAUGGGGACAUUCUGGACAUACAUCCCCCUAAUAUUCCCAGCAUGCAUCACAGUUUCCCCCCCUCUGCUCGGGAGAUAAUUGGGAAGUAAUUCAAUUAUCUCCCAGAGCAGAGGCAAAUCGCCAUUUUAAAUACAAGUCACAAAACACAUAAAAAUAUAUAACUUUAUAACUGCCGAACAUAUUGCAUUCGUGUAACACAUCCCCAGAUAGCCUGGAUCUGAGUGCAUAUUAUUGGCGAAUAGCGCUCAGAUCCCAUACGCAUAGUUCAAUCGCCAUGGAGUCAAAGUCUAUUACAGUUCUUCGGUAUGCGAUUGACUCCAUGGGAAGGCUAUCUGGGUUAAGUCCAUUCGUGUUAUCAAAUCUCCCGAACGGCCGGUAUUCAUAUGCUUUUGUUGAUUGAGAAGGGGAGGUCGACGGCUUCAGCGGUAUUCGGUUGAAAAAGUGUCCGUUUUUAGUUCCAUGGAAUAACCGCCGAACACCGCUGGGCUUUCGCAUAGUUAAAAUGGCCGCCGCCUCGUGGUCGACAUACAAACGACGACCACCCUGUAUUCGGUUUUAAUUGAGAAGUGUCUGUGGUUAACCGCAACGUUCUAAUUGGGAUCAAUAGGUUAACCAGCAGCACACUUCUCUUCUGGGUGGCCGUCCGUUCGGUAGUUCCGUUCGACAAAAAAAAGACAUUCCCUUAAACAAAGCAUACGAACGGGGAAAUUCAUGCAAACGGCAAAACAGACGAACACAGUACUUUUAGUCCAUACAGAUGAGUCUGUCACAGUCCCGAAGUGCUGAAGUGCCGAAAUUCUGAAAUGCCGGAGUCCCGAAAUUCCAAAAUGCCGAAGUUGCCGAAGUUCCAUUGUGUCGAAGUGCCGAAGUGCCGAACCGAACUGAAUUGCCGAAGUCUCGAAUUGCUGAAGUGCCGAAUUUCAGAAUGCCGAACCGAAAAUUUUCCCCAUGCACAUGCCUAUCGAUCAUGUUUAUAUACCUGCGUAGAUGUGUGCUUUGUUUGGUGUUUGGCAGGUACAAGUUGGCAAAUGUUACUAAUGUAUUUCCCAUUUUGGCUUUAAUUAUCAGUAGCCGACCACUCGGGUCUGCGUAUUGGUUUAUAUGGGUAUAAGGGGUAUGCACCCCUAUGAUAAUGGCUACUCCCCUUGUCUUUGUCUCUGCGUAGGAGCCGAAAUAUCCCAUAUGCGUAUUGUGAAAGUGGAACCUGUUUUAAAAUGGGUCUCUUGGAGGAACGCAACAUCUGCUUUCAGCAUGUGGAGUUCCUGGAGGGUUAGCGAUCGUUUUGUCGGGGAGUUGAGGCCCCUGACAUUGAGGGUGACUAUAGUGAGAUUUGCCAUUGUGGGUAUCGGAGGGUAGGUGAUGUAUGUAUUUCGUCUAUUAAUAAGAUGCAAUAGAUAACAAAAUUCUGACAACAGUUGAACUAUUUACAGUGCUGGUGGUAUGCAAGUGGAGCAAGAACUUGAGACGUUUAUUACAGAAAGUCGGACAGCCUCGUUAGACGGUGGCUUUCCCCUAGAUGGCGCUUAUGCCUCAGGGGAGUUGUGUGGCUUUCCACUUGCAAUUAGAGUGUCACUUUGUGAUGGGGGGUUCGAUGUAGUGUAACUAAAGCGCGACUCUCACGAGACGGGCAAUCCUGUGUAUGAUUAUGACAUUUGGUGAAUAAUUCAGGCUUAGCGGUUACGUUUGUGGGACUGCUAAAAUUGUGUGCAGACAUUAUUAACAGAUAGUAUGUUUCAACAUAUAAGUAAAAGUUAUGGUCGCCAGCUUCAGUGGAAGUGCUAGGUUUCUAGGACCAGAUCUGGGUCCCCUCACUGAGUGAGGAGGGUGCUCGGUGUGGGUGUGUGCAUCUCAAUUUCUUGCUCGGCUAUAUACUGAGGCCUUUACUCAAGUUAUUUACCCCCUAGCGUGUAUAUCCCCAGUCAUGCCUAGAGUGAAAAGAUAAACAUAUAUUGCGUUCUCUUCUAUCCCGUUUGUUGUUUCGCCUUUCUCAAAGGCUAUCUGACCUUGCGUCUUAUAGGCCUGGGGGAGGUAGUGGGGAGAGGGGGUAGGGAAAAGGAAUGAGAGAGGUGGGGAGAGGAUUAGGGGGGUAUUGUUACGGAUUGGGCCCACUCCUGAGGGUAGGCGGUUGAAAUGGAGUCCCUGGUAGGAGGUAGGAGAAGGAAGGGGGGGGGUUGGGAAGGUGAGGGAAGCUGUGCGCCGGACAUCGUGCCCCCUAAUUCCCUGGUUACAUAGCAUGCAUUAUACAAAUUACCCCUCUACAGCUGUGUUCCCCCGUGCCACUUUGCUUAGACCUGGGUAGGCGUGACCUCAGAUCCUUCUAUAUGAAGUGGGUAGUCUCAAGCAAGUCCAAUAGUGGUGUGCACAGCUAUUUCACGGGGCUGUGUUACCAGGCUGUGCACCUGCAGGAUACAGUUCCGCAUGUGUUGUGGUAGGUGGAUAAGUCUUAUCGGUAUGGUAGGUAAAGUUCAGUGGGGGACAUGACCAUUCAUGUCGUCUUCUACGGGGAGUUGGGGUGGUAGUGAGUAGGGCAUUCCUUUAUCUGGGGUACAGAACAGUUCCUCCAGGGGUUUAUAGCCUCCUCCGUCGCUCACUCUUUGAGUGAGAUCCUGUAACCCAGUCUGUGGGGUUUAGUCUUUAUUCUUAUGGUUGACACGUUGUACUGAUGUGGCCUAGCAAUGUGGUUGUUCCGCGGGUCGGUAUCUUCUCGUUGUUGUUUUGUGCAGUGAGUCUCUUUACUGAGAGAAUGGACCCACUCCCGGCCUGGGUCCGCCCUGGUGUGGUAUUUAAUCAUUCUUUCUUUGUUUAGAGGGGGCCUAUCCUCUCUGCUUUUGAGGUGCUUGCAUGCAUUGUGGGGGUUGUAGCCGGCCGUAUCAGUCUGGAAGAUAUAUGUCCGGAAGUUUUAGUGCUGAGGUAAAUAGCUGCACAUCUUCUGCAGAGGAUAGGGUUGCAGUAGUUCCAUUAUGUGUUGCUGUGAUAGCCAGGUGGAAUCCCCAUCUGUAUCUUAUGUUUCUGGAGUGCAAUAGAUCCGUAAGUGGUUUCAUUGCUCGCCUUGCUUGUAGCGUCAUCCAGGAUAGGUCUGGGAAGAUCUGCACCGGCGAUCCGUGCAACAGGAGGGGUUGGGUGGUUUGGCGGAUUUCCUGAGGAUAUCCUUUUUGAGGGUAUAUUAGUGUGGCUGACAUAUUACAUCUCUGGGUGCGUCGGCUAUGAGGUUUCUAGGCCUCAACGUUCUGUGUGCCCUAUCCAAUAUAAUUGGCGCUGUCACUUCUCGUUGAAGUAUAAGAUUAAACAAUUCUUGAAGAGUGGCUGCAAUGUCCUCUCCCUCCAUUUCUGGGAGACCUUUGAUUCUCAGAUUGUUUCUGCGCCCUCUAUUAUCUAGAUCAUAAAGCGCUCUGUACAGUGCUUUCAUUUGGGAAUUAUGGGCUGCUACUGUGCUUUGCAGGCUUUGUAGCUGUGUGGCUAUAUAAUCUUGAUAAUUUUGCAGGGAGUUAACCCUUUCACUGACCUGCUUGACUUCUGAGGAAAUGUCAUCCAUUUUCUUUUGGAAUGUCACUUCCAGUUUUUGAAGCAUGUUGUAUAGAUGAUAGGAAAUAAAACAUAGUGCAAAUAUUGUUUUAUACUAUAAAAUAAUAUAAUGAUUUUUAUGCACUCACAAAUUCCAAAUUGAUAAAGCGUUUAAUGGGUGCCUCCCCACGAUGUAGAUGGGGGGUUGUAAAUGUCCCUCCUUGAGUGAUAGCCGAUGGGGUAUCAGGGUCAGCAAGAUGAUCCAACAAACUCCAACCAGAUGAAUACUUCAAAGGCAAUUUAUUCACUCAUCAGGAAUCAAAUAGAACAAUAAAAACAAAUGCAAAAAGGCCACCGGUCCUACGCGUUAUUGUAUAUUUAAUUGCUGUUUUUAUUGACAAAGUCCUUUUGUAUUUUGUGUAGGAUCGGUGGCCUUUUCGGUGGCGCCGGUUUUAGUUCCAGUCUGUUUGCGGAUUGCCCGUUUUCGCGAUUGGAGCUUAGCUAGCAGGCGUCCAUUUCUCCUUAUCUUUCAUUAGACUCAUUAAAUUAAAUUAAUGAUGAAUAUAUGGGAAGCAGCGGAAAAAUACAGGAGGGCACAUAUCACAGAGGUAUCUAGGCUUUAACACCGAAAAUACUAGAGACCAUGUAAACCAGUGGUUCUCAAACCAGUCGUCAUGGCCCACCAAUAGUCCAGGAUUUAUGUAUUUUCCUGUUUUAUUCCAAUGGAAAUACUAACAAAACCUGGACUGUUGGUGGGUCUUGAGGACUGGUUUAAGAAACGCUGAUGUAAACAUCAUUUUGUAGAAUGCAUCGUUAAACCACAUAAUUCAGAGAUCAUAGUUGUCAAUGUCAUGCUCAGAGUUCUGGUCAUACAAAGUGUAUAUUAAGUGUAGCUCCACUUGCACAAACAUUUGGGCUCAUGGGAAUUAAUUAAAUAUAUGUAUUGCUUAAACAAUAAUAAUUCAAAACUGUCAUAUUUGCAAAGCAGAAUAGUUGAUCAACUAAGCCUGCCAUACUAUUAAAAGCAUUGCUUUGUUUAUGAAACAUCUAAUGUCAAACUAAUAAGCUCACCCAGUGUCCUGACAAGCCAACUGAAAUGUAAAAAUGAAUGUAUCAAGAUACUUUUAUAGAAGCAAAAUGUUACGUGUAGAAAUGUUAACUCAAAAUUUACAAAACAAUUUAUUCUAUCAUAACUACCUUUUUUAUUAUUAGACAUGUACAUUAAAUUCCACUUUUCUUGUAUGCUUGCAUGCCCCACACUUCCAUUAAAUUCUCUGAAAUAGUAUAGAUAAAAGCCAUCCUGUUGUCUUAAAUCCCAUUAGGAAACCCAUUUCCCUUCAUUUUCUUAAUCUGAUCACACUGCCUAAAUUAGGUAAUUGUCAACUAAUCACCGCGGUAGGGGACAUCCAGUUGCUAAUGCAAUAAUUUUCUGAUGAUAUGCUUUUUCUCCAUUUGUUAGGGCUUGGAAAACAAGUUCCUACUAUGUGUUAACAACAAGUAAUUAUAUUAGGGAUGAAAUAUGACCCAAACUACUGGCAGUGUAUUUAUCUAGAUGUAUUGAUGAAUGAACCUUGUGCAAAAAACUAAAUUACAUGGAAGGAUUUCUGGGAGGAGCCUUAUUUUACAUCCAUAGCUUUAACUCUAAGUAAUAAAAAAUUAACUGCUUUCUCCUGUCAUAUUUAUAUUUAUUUAAAAAGAUAUAUCUAUACCUGUCACUCACUAUAUUUGUGAUAACAUAGAAGUUAAAUUUUAAUUUAGAAAGGCACAAUGCUAGUCUACAUUCAAGAGGCAAUUUGUUCCUUAUAUCAUUAGGCCACCUUGUUUUUAAUGGGGUUAGAAUCUUAUACUUUUCAGUUCUUGACAGUAACAUAUUACUUCAUAAACUGAUUGGCUAUUGGAACAUCGCAAGAACAGGUUUGCCUAAUUAAUUAACAAAACAUUCUAAUAUUUGAUAUACAAACGUGUAUUUUUAAUAUUAGAGUGUUUUUCUAUUUAGAUUAUUGUGCCAGUUUGAAAAGAUUUACUUAACUUAUAACCCACCCUAUACCUAUAAAAAGAGAUAUUCAAAUGAUGCUGACAAGGUGUCCAAGUUAAACCUCCACCUCAUCUCGCAGCAGCUCUAGGACUCCAGGUUGCCGCCUCUCCAGUGAUUUCUAAUCACCUGUAUACCACAAAAUUGGAGUCAUGUAGGGUCUUCAUCGUGGACAUUUAAAAAAAUGAAGAUAAACAUUGUGAUUUAAAAAACCUCUCCUUAUAUUAUAAAUAUUCUCACAUACCCUUGUUUUUAAGCAUCUUGAUAUUGUAAUCCACAAGUGCACGUGAGCAAGUAUAUCACAUUUUUAGUAUUUCUAUAUGUAUUUAAAAUUAUUUUCAUUGUUGGGUACAUCUACAUAACUUGAGAUAAGUAUCUGUCUAAGAUUUUUAGCUCCUCUAAAGACAAUUUUUGUUUUUUCCUCUAUAAAUGGCAUGAUUUCUUGGUUUAAGAUAUGACAGUUUUUAUUCAAAAUCUUUUUUAAAUGUCUUUGAUCCUUACUACAAAUAAAAAUCAGAGGUAUUAUUUAAUUUCUCCUCUUAUACUUUUAGAUUUAUAUACAAGUAGAGAAUCGCUAUCUAAUUCUCACAUUUUUUGGAUUUCUCCAUCUAGCUGGUCUGUAUAAUAACCAUGAUCUAAAAACUGAUUUUUUUAAAAGUUCUGCCUGGUUAUUAAAUGAAUCAAGAUCCGUACAAUUACAUCUUAAACAAAAAAACUAACCUUUAGGGAUGUUAUCCAACCAGGGUUGAAAAUGACAACUCUCUUUGUCGAUGUAACUAUUUACAUCCACUUUUUUGAAGAAAGUGCGUGUGUUAAUUCUGUUAUCUUUUAUAUAAAUUUAUAGGCCUGGAAAGGUAAUGUUUACUCUACUAAUUUAUUGGGUUAAAUUAAUGUUCCACUGAUUUGAAUUUAAAAUAUUUAAGAGUCUAAAACAGAAGCCUCAUCUACCUUCCAUAUUAAAAAGAUUUCAUCAAUAUAUCUCUUAUUGAGGACCAGGUUCACACUCCAGCCAUGGUUGGAGAAAACUAAAUUGUUUUCCCAAUGUGACAUAAAUAAAUAAACAUAGUUGGGUAUAAACCUGGUCCCCAUAUCACUCCCUCUACAUUGUAAAAAAUAAUCCCCCUCGAACCAGAAGAAAUUAUUCCCAAGGAUAAAAAGAAUUCCCUCCAUAAUAAAAUCCACCUGUUCCACAGGGUACAACGCUGAGGUUUCCAGAAAAAAACAUGUAGAAUCACAUCCUAACAGGUGAUCUAUACAUGUAUAGAGGCGAGUUACAUCGCAGGUGACAAGUAAAAAGUCAUUCUCCCGUUUAAAAUCUAUAAGUGUUUGUAGUAAGCUCAUGGAGUCCUUAAGAUAGGAUGGCCUCGUCUUUACUAUUGGAUGAAGGUGUGUAUCUACAUAUUUAGAUAAAUUAGAAAGAAGGGAUCCGACUCAAGAGACUAUAGGUCUCCCUGGAGGGGUUAAGUGCAUCUUUAUGUAGUUUUGCUAGUACAUAUAUAACGGGUAUUUUUGGGAAUCUAACAUUAAGAAAGGAAUAUUUUGACUGAGUCAGAAUUACCUUGACUAACCCUCUAUCUAGAUAUUGCAUAUAUUGUUUUUUUAUUUCAUUUUAGGGAUUAUUUUCCAAUUUUUUAUAUGUAUUUAUACGACUUACUUGAUGGUGAAUCUACAUAAUAUAUUUAUCUCUAUCCAUUAGUACAACUCCUCCCCCUUUAUCUGCCGGUUUAAUUAUUAUUUGGGAAUCUUUUCUCAAAUUAUCCAUUGCCAUUUUUUCUAAUCUAGUUAGAUUAUUUAUUUUAUGUGUUUUUAUCUGUUUAAUAUCUUUGAUACACACCCUUUUAAAAAACUUUCAUACAAUUAGAUUUUGAAUGAAUGGGAUAAAAGGAGGAUGGAUGUUUGAGAUUAGUAUGAAUAAAAUAAUUUUUUAUUGUAUUCUGAUUUUCUUUAGUAAUUAAUUUUCUAUUAAACUUUUUUUAUAUCUGUAUAUGCCUCAAAUGUAUCCAUUAUACAACUAGGUGUGAAUUUAAAACCUUAAUUAAAAUACUAGUUUCAGCAGGAUUUCAGUUUUUUUUUUGGCCUUUCUUUUACCUGAGGAAAGGGGGUAGAAUACGAAUUUUUGUUACAAUCAGUUAGAUUUGAUUUUGAUUUUUUUCUGAUUAUUAGUAAAUCUAGGUAUUUUCCCAACAUUUUUAGUGGCAUGAUUAUUCACAUCUCUUUGAUGUUUCUUUUUUUUUUAUUUAGAAUGAUAGAUGUUUCAAGUUUAUCUAAUCUCCACAUAAUUUGGUUGGAUAUAGAUACGAAAUCAUUGGUUCCAAAAAAUGGUUCGAAUUUAUUUUAUAUUUCAUUGAUAAUUUUAUCUAAAGCCUCUAGAUUCCUAGUUCUCUGAUCUACUACAAUUUGCAUCAUCAUGAUAGAGAAUGAUUCAAGAGCUCCUUCCCAUAUUUCAAUAUGUCUUUUAUCAUUUCUAUCAAAAGUGGGAUAUUUUCUGAAUCUCAGACCUCGUGGUGUUAUCUGGACUUUUAAAUCUUUUCCAUCACCUCGAUCCCCUCUUUUUCCAGGUAAGUAUCAAGCGAUAUCAAAUUAGGUAGGUAAAGAAUUUUACUGGAAACUAAAAAUAGGUAUAUAAAAUACAACAGCAAAGCAAGCUGUAAAUAACAACAAAAGAAAGUCCGCUAACGCUAACUCCUGACCCCUAUUGGGUCUUUUUCAAAGUGCAUUUUCCUCUCCACUUGAUGCCGGUUUAUAAACCCUGUAUCCAGGAAAUUGACUUUCACGCCGUCUGGCGCUCUGGGGUCACUUCCGCAUUCGUGCAUCAUUGUGGAGAACCGUCAAGGCGUCAUGGCGUCCUGACGUGAUACGUAAUGACGAAAUCGAGUUGCGAUAUUGGAAGGCCAGAAAACACCAUAAUAGUAUCGGGCGAAUUAGUUUAUAUUAUAAUAGUUCACUUAGAAAUAUAGGCUGGACUGUAAAAGGACGUAAAAAUAGAAGACAAAUAUAUAAAAUUUAACAACAUAAGCUAAAAGCAUUUUACACAGAAAAAACUGUAUAUAAUUUGAAAUAUAUAUGACAUAUUCAAAUUCAUAAUAAAAGGAGACCAGAUGCACAAAGAAAUAUAAUUGGAUCUAAUAUAAAUUGUAUAUAAAAAUUGUAUAUUAAAGCAUAUAUAUAGCAAACAUUAUAUGUAACAACGAUCUAUAAAAUAGAUGUAUAAAAUAUUCAAUAAAUAUAUAUUUUUUUAAAAUGAAAUUAAAAAUGUAUAAUAAAAAACAUAUAAAAAGAGAUAUUCAAAUGAGUGCUGACAUUUCUCCACCGUGGACAUUUAAAAAAUGAAGAGAAACGUGAUUUAAAAAAAACCCUCUCCUUAUAUCAUAAAUAUGCUCACAUACCCUUGUUUUUGUAAGCAUCUUGAUGUCUUACCAACAUAUUGUAAUCCACAAGGGCAUGUGAACAAGUAGAUCACAUUUUUAGAAUGACGUGAUUAAAGUGUAAAUGUUGUACAGUUUUAAUCUGGUCCAGGAUUUAAAAAUCUAUUUUUUUAUUUUUCCAAUUUUUACAUCCCAUGCAGUCAUGACAAAAAUAAAAUCCUUUAUUAGUAUUUCUAUAUGUAUUAAAAAAUAUAUUUUUGGGUACAUCUACAUUACUUGAGAUAAGUAUCUGUCUAAGACUUUUAGCUCCUCUAAGGACAAUUUUUGGUUUUCCCUCUAUAAAUUCAAUGAUUUCUUGACCUUGCUGUAAGCUAUGCCAGUUUUUAUUCAAAAUCUUUUUUGAUUGUCUAUGAUCAAUUGAGUUUUUACCUGCACUGGGUAAGACAAUUAUUAUGGAUUAUUUACAGUACUUAUGUUUACAAUAAAAGCAAUUAUAAUACACUCUAUGCUAUCUUGAUAAGGACCGAGAGGUCGAAAUGUUGAUCUUUUUUUGCCUCCUCCUACUCAUCCCGGCUUUUGGUUGCUACAUUUUCUCUAGUUGCAAGAAUCCCCAAGGACAGGUCUCUCCUCCCCACACAGGCCCUUCUCACCACCUGUAUCGGAACCAGCCAACAUUUUAGCACCACCUGUAUUCCCCAGCUUCCAGGGUCCUGCAUUUGCUCAGCCAAUCAUGAGUCAGCAGAGCCAGGCUAUUACACACAAGGGGGGCAUUCAACCGUUGAAUGGCACUUACACACAUCCUGCUCAUUCUAUUCAGUUUAGCGAACCAAUUCAAUUUGCACAUCAUGCCACUUACUCUUCUAAGUAUUUCUCCACGUUCGCUCAAAUUCGAUCAUUUCAGUUGCAUGAACUCACUGCAAUUCGUUCAAUAACUGUAGACUACCCCCUAGUGGCCGGCUACAGUUUGUUCUCUAUAACAUGUAGAAAUUAUUUUAAAUAUGGGACAUCUCCUGUUAUUAUUGUUCUCUGAUAAUUUCAUGUAAAGUUGCUACCCACAGUUUCGGUCCCACUCAACAGUAUGUCAUUUAUUAAUUGUCUAUGCUCUUACACAGUAUUUUCAAGUAAAGUUAUGCUUGUCUUUAUCCUAAUGCAGUGGAUUAGCCUUUCUAAUUGUCAUUUACUCAUACACCUAGAAUAUUUAGACCAUGCAACUGUAAUUUAUAUUGUAUACUUGUCUUCUCGUGAUAGUUAACCUACUACAACAGCAAAUUGUUCCUCAUCAUUCCGACAAGGGUCUUUAUUUCACCUCCACUUCAUUCAUUCAAUUUAAACCUUCCAUAAUUCCUCCAUAUCAGCGGGUACGUAUUAGUAUGUUUUAUAUUUUUAUCUAGUACACUAUGCUGUACCAUAAACUACUACCUCAACUCCUAAAUACAAACUCCUCUAUUACAACGCCCUCUCAUUUUAUGUUCUGCUUACCACUGCUAUAUUCAUCAUAUGCUGCAAUAUUUUAUCACCCAUUCAUUUGGCCUUCUAUUUCCCAUUCCAUAGAAGCCUUUAGCCUGCAUGAGUGGCAUCAUUACACCUCUAACAGUCUACAUACUUAGUUCACAUUACUUUCAUGUAUAUCAACGGUGGUACUACACUUAAUUCACCAGACCACAGACCUCACGCUCAGGGAUCCUUAACUCCCCUACACUCCUUUCCGCUACAACUACAUUCCUACCUCACUCUCAUAUUCCCUGAUUAAUCUAGUUCAUAUCCACGCAUACGUCUCUUCUCUAAAUGUAGCCAGGCAACCCAUCUAUUCUAAUUUACUAUUUAUGUAUUUAACUAUUUCCAGUUUUAGGUUUUCCUCCCAAAGCUGUCUCCAUUCCAAAGUGCAAGAACGUACAGCAGAAUAUACACAUUCUACCAUAUAUACAGGUAUUAACUGAAUUCACGAGUCCUUUAUAGAUGUACCAGCAUUUACACAGUUUUCAUUAACUUCCUUUAGGAGUUAAGGUCACACAGGUUCUAGAAAAGACAAGGUACCGAUUGACUACCCCUUAUUAUUAUAUGUUAGUUUUAUCUCACAGUAUGUUUAUUUCCCAGUCCGGUUCUGUCUUUUACCUCACAGAUUCUUUUCUUAGAUUCAUCAGUAUGUCAUCCCUCUGACUCCAAGACACAAUUUGCCAAGAAGGAAAGUAUGUGUGGAUAUGAACUAUAUUAAUCAGGGAAUAUGAGAGUGAGGUAGGAAUGUAAUUGUAGCAGAAAGGAGUGAAGGGGAGUUAAGGAUCCCUGAGCGUGAGGUCUGUGGCCUGGUGAAUUAAGUGUAGUACCAGCAUUGAUAUACAUGAAAGUAAUGGACUCCAAGACACAAUUUGCCUUACAGACCAGGUACAUUAUUUUCAACAUGGUACUUAAUGUGUUCAUCCUCUCCCCGACUUACAUAGCGUUAGGUCAACUGGCUUUAAGGUUGUUGGCACUGGCCUUAGUUUAAUUAUAAAGUAAUUAUUCCCGCAAGCCCAACUCCCAUCCUCAAAUGGAAGUAUAUGCCCUUUGGCCCAAUGCAUACUUACUGCCUUGCAUCAACCUCUUCAGAUUACCAAUUAGGUCCUCACCAGUCAUGGCCACUUUGUGGUCAUUGGGAGGCCAAUGUUCCUGCCACAUCAUUCAAUUGCCUCUGUCUAAUGGUCCAAAUUGUAGAAAUAUUAAUGACACUUGGCAUGAAAAAGGCCUCAUCUUCCCUUGGUCCGGAUCAAGCCCCCCACGAGCCAGCAAAGCUUAACUUUACUAUUGUUAGCAAAUUCCUGAACCCCCAAGCCAGGUACCAUCUAUCAAGCUGGAAACAAUGAUAAUCUGUCUGUAAUUAGAAAUAUGAUGUCCACUAUCCUUCCCUCCAAUAACACCAUUAAUGUCCGACUAGAUAAGCUGGAAUCUCCCCACCUACUGACCCCUAGCCCACCCACGGGGCUCCUCACCUGCUCUACUUCUCACAGUAAUGUUAUUAGUUCCAACCCUACAUCUAGCACGCCAACUCAUGUUAUCACUCCUGCUCACUUAGUUUCCCUGAGCAUACGAAGGACAUCCUGGAGGUCAAGGAUGUAAACUUGGUUUCUUUGCUAAUUGUCUCUCAGGAUGUUAUUGAAAACAAAGCUUACUGCUAUGGUGAUCUAUCUGUCAUUUUGAAAGCCAGAGAUCCCAGACUUAACAGGAAACUCACUAUUCCUGAAUUUGUCCUCGUAUUUGGACUUUACUGAGAUGUAAUUGGCUCCACUUCCCCUCACCAUAGGGAAGAACUGGAUCUAUACUUGCAUUAGUUGGUGGACCUGGGGCACAAGUACAGUGGAUUUACUUUCUUUGACUAUCACAAGUCUUUUUCUGUCAAGGCAGCAGCAUCCCUUGCCCAAUUUAACACUCACACAAACUGGAGUCAUCUUGAUACAGAGUUAUUCUGUUGUCAUUUCACUGGUGUUAAACUGCCGUUUUGUGCUGCAUGCGCUUCCAACACCCAUACCACCAAGCUGUGUUCCAUAGAUCCUAGUUUGCCUAACACUAGUCAUACUUCCCUCGGUUCUUCCACUGCUAAACACAGAGGCCUUAAAUACAAAUUGGCCAGGCCUAUAGUGUUUCUGGGCAAAGCUCAAAUCUGCAACAACUUCAACUCUGGCUGUUACGUAUUUAGCUUUUUCGCAAAAGGCACGUGUACUAGGUUGUAUCUUCAGUCCUUACUGGGCAAUGAGAAUCAUUCCACAGGGCUGUGCUUUUAUUUUCCAACUGCUAUGCCUUCUUCCAGUCCUGCCUACUGAUAAUAGUACCAUGUCAUAAGGAUUUCACACCAAAGCUGAACUUACUAUAUGGCUCAACUACCUGUUCAUUCGUCCCCUUUCAGAUGAUUCUUCAGUAAUUUGGACAGAUUCUGCUGCCAACUUGGUUUUUAGUGACUCCUGGUUCCAUGACUCAUGGCCAGUUGAGACCCUUUAUAUACCCUCAUUUAAUACAACCUCACCAUUGUUUGAAGUUUACCAAAUUGUGGCCGCCACCAAGGCCUGGGGAUACCUUUUAAAGGGCAAAGCAUUAAAGUGCUUUUCUGACAAUAAAGAAGCUUGCAACAUCAUUAAUAAAGGUCGAUCCUCAUCUCUCACAAUCAAGAGAAUGAUUAGGAAACUCACAUGGAUUGCAGCUACACUACAAUUUCACAUUGUUUGUAUACACAUUCCUGGCCGCAUUAAUACUGCUGCUGCUGCUUUGUAUUAUUCUCAUUUUCAGGAAUUCUGUAGAGCUCAUCAGCAGCCAACAAAUUCCCUCAUUCCAAUACCUUAUCCUGGAUUGACUCGUCUUAUGGCACAUGGCAAAUUUCUAGUGAGCUCUUCUCUCUCAGCUAAUACUGCACAUUAUUACAAAAGAGCUCUCGGUAUUUUCACCAAAAAUUACUAGAAUUAAUGACCGAGGCUAGGCUAAAGGAUUCUUUUUCCUCACAUCCUUCCCAAAAGAAGAAUUUGCUUUCCUCGAAACAGAUAACAUAAAAAAAUAACUUUGAGGGACCUGCCUGACAACCCAAGCAGACAGUCCAGAUCAUUUAUUUUGCAAGCCUUACAUUUAACCCUAUAACUUUCUAAAACAUCAUAAAACCUGUACUUGGGGGCACUGUUGUACUCGUGAGACUUUGCUGAACAUAAAUAUGAAUGUUUUAAAACUUUACUUUGGCCAGGGUUUGUGACUAAGUGGCUGUUAAAAAGGACUGGACAUAACCCAUUUUGAAUACCUAGGGCUGUCUACUUUGGCAAAUGGUAUGCCAUGCAAUUCUCAUUUCUGGGCUUCCAUACAGUCUCAAAGGCGACAUAGGCCCAAACCGAACUGGCAAACUGAAAUGGGAAAGCACUAUAUUUGACCCUGUUACUUUCCAAAACAAUAUGAAACCUGUACACAUGUCUUACUCGUGAGACAUCACUGAACACAAAUAUAUGUAUUUUAUUGUAAUAAAAGCUAACAAUAUUGUGACAGUCACAGUUAGAAUGUCACGCAGAACUUGAAAAAUGACAUUUCCUAGGUUCUCAAACAAUUUUUAGGUUUUAUUUAUAUAAAAUUAUGCUUCAUAUAUAAAUAUUUGACAUGAAAUGGAGACCAUGUUUCUCCGGAACCAUAAUUUAACUCAUUAUAUUAAGUGCACCCACACUUAUUAUGUAUCAUUUUGUUCAGGAGAAACUGGACUUUCAUUGCAUCAAAUAUUUAUAUUUGAAGCAUAAUUUAAUAUGAAUAAAAUUAAAAUAACCUUUUCAAGUUCUGCAUGGCAUUUUACCUGUGAAUGUCAUACUACUGUUAAUUUUUGCUGCAAUAAAAUACACAUAUUUGUUUUCAGCAAUGACUUACGAGUAAAACAGUACCCCCAUGUACAGGUUUUAUGAAGUAUUGGAAAGUUACAGGGUAAAAUAUAGGGCAUUCCCCUUUUUCAUUUUUACACAUUGAAAUUUGCAAGAUUGGUUUACUGGAUAUAUCCUCUUUUGAGAUCGUAUGGCUGCCCAUAAACGAAAAUGAACCCCAUCGUGGCAUACCAUUUGCAAAUGUAGACAACCCAGGGUAUUCAAAAUAAGGUAUGUAUAGUGUUUUUUUAGUAGUUAAUUAGUCACAAACCUUGGCCAAAGUUAUCGUUCAUUUUUGUUUUUUGCCUUUUUCACAAAAAAACAGCAUAUUCAUUGAUUAUAUUAUCGUCAUUAUUCUACUGCUCUAAAACACUCAUAUUUGUGUUCAAUGAUGUCUGAUGAGUAAAACAGUACCCCGCAUGUACAGGUUUUAUGGGGUUUUGGAAAGUUACAGGGUCAUAUAUAGGGCUUGCCUAUUUCAUUUUUUACACAUUGAAAUUUGCCACAUUGGUUAUGGUGCCUUUGAGACUGUAUGGCAGCCCAGGAAUGAGAAAUACCUCUGUCAUGGCAGACCAUUUGUAAAAGUAGAGAACCCAAGGUAUUCAAAAUGGGGUAUGUCUAGAGUUGAGCGAACCCGUACUGUAAAGUUCGGGUUCGUACCAAACAUUAGGUUUUUGGACCCCAGACCCGAACACGAACAUAUCACUGUAUGUUCGGGUUGGAGUACAGUGUUCGGCGAUUUAAUGGCUGUGAUUGGCCAGUGCAGCAUGUGACCCAGCCUCUAUAUAUAAGCUGGAGUCGCGUAGCGCCGCACGCACAUACGGUCUUAUUAAUGUAGGGAGAGGAUGCUGCCUCUGAUAGGGUCAGCUUAGGAAAGAAUUCUGCAAACUAAUAUAUUAGUGGGGUGGGGUGCACUUCAUAUCCGAGAGUCAAAUAGAAGCUUCAAAUACCGCGGUUACAUCAGUGUUUUAAAAAGUCAAUUUUUUUGGUGCUAAAUAGUACAUUAGAGGGGUGCACUUCAUAUCUGAGAGUCAAAUAGGAUCGUCAAAUACUGCUAUCACAUUGCAGUUUUAAAACUUAAAAUUUUUUGGGUGCUAAAAAGUACAUUAAUGGGGUGCACUUCAUAUCUGAGAGUCAAAUAGAAGCAUCAAAUACUGCUGUCACAUUGCAGUUUUAAAACUUAAAAUGUUUUGGGUGCUAAAUAGUAUUUUAGUGGGGUGCACUUCAUAUCUGAGAGUCAAAUAGAAGCGUCAAAUACUGCUGUCACAUUGCAGUUUUAAAACUUAAAAUGUUUUGGGUGCUAAAUAGUAUUUUAGUGGGGUGCACUUCAUAUCUGAGAGUCAAAUAGAAGCGUCAAAUACUGCUGUCACAUUGCAGUUUUAAAACUUAAAAUGUUUUGGGUGCUAAAUAGUAUUUUAGUGGGGUGCACUUCAUAUCUGAGAGUCAAAUAGAAGCAUCUAAUAGUGUGCUUACAGCGCAGUGGUAAAAAUUCCUACUUUCUAGGUGUUAAUAUGCUAAAUAGUACAUUUUGUGGCCUGUUCUUAAUAUCUGAGAGUCAAACAGAAGCGUCUAAUAGUGUGCUUACAGCACAGUUGUAAACAUUCUAAUUGUUUUGCUGCUAAUCUGCUCAAUAGUACAUUUUGGGGCCUGCGGUGCACUUCAUAUCUGAGAGUCAAAUAAGCGUCUAAUAGUGUGCUUGCAGCGCAGUGGUAAACAUUCUUGUUUUCUGGGUGUUAAUCUGCAUUUCUCCAUGCCUUACCCGUGGUCACCAUGGUUGGUGCAGAAACUGGCAUUGAAAGUUGAUAUAAAUGACAUCCGCAUGCAAAGUCGCCGCCAGGGAUGUGCGAUUGGCCGAGUUCACCACAGGCGCCAAAUGGUUCUUUUUUGUAUGUCCCAAUAUUUUGUGGGCUACUACAAUUAAAAAAAAAAAAAAACAUAAAAAACAGUGUUGGCUACCUCCUCCUCCACCGCCGCUUCCACCUACACCACCUCCUCAACCUCUGGGUCACUUAGUAUAAACUAUGUACACAAUAGCAGAGGCUUGUAAAGGCCUUUCCUCCAUGCAUCAGGAGUUGAGCUCAGUUUGAACAAUGAAAAAGAAUACCCUGGGGGCGUGGCUUGGACGCGGGAGUGAAUGGCCGCAUGAACGCAGAGCUCCGCUCGAGACUGGCCUGAAUAACUAGAAUCCCGGCAAUUUUACAGACAUGGCGACCAAAAGACUGAAGGCACAAGCAGGCAACACUCCCUCCUCUAACCUCUCAUCCUCCAAAACGUCCCUGAGGAGAUUCUUCGCGGAGAAACAGGAGAUAGACAUGCGGUCCAAAAUGGCCGCGGCUGAGAAAUCUCCCGCGAGCAGCGCUCCUGCCAGCCCUGCUCCCUCAGACAGCUCCACAGAGGGAACAGAUAUAAAAACUAUUCUGACCCAGCUGCAUUCCAAACUGGACCUCGAAGCCAUGUUCUCCAAAAUGGAAAGGAGCUUUGGCGACAAGCUGCAAUCUCUACAUGAGGAGGUAAGCCACAUUGGCAAUAGAGUGCAAAUGCUGGAAGAGGGGGGGGGGAACAACAGCCCUGCAAAUACACAACAUGCAAACUCUCCAGCAAACCCAGAAUGAAGCCCUAAUAUUCCUACAAAGGAAAAUAGAGGACCUUGACAAUAGGGGGAGGCGCAAUAACCUCAGAAUUAGAGGCAUCCCUGAGGCCCCUGAAGGAACAAAUGAAAAUAUAACACAAAUCCUCACAAAUCUUUUUAAUCAGCUUCUGGGCAGACCGCUAGACAUCCCCAUCAAGUUGGAUCGCGCUCACAGAGCAAUACGGCCGAAAGCGUUGGCGAUUGUGAGACACCAAGGGACAUCAUUUGCAGGCUCCAUCAUUUUCCCAUUAAAGAGAUGAUUCUUCAAAAAGCCAAGCAAAUCAGAGACAUUGCAUUUACCGACUACAAAGUGCAGAUAUUCCAGGACCUGGCGCAAUCCAGACUUAUAGCGAGAAGAGCAGUGCGCCCGAUCACAAAAGCACUCUCGGACCGCAACAUAUGGUUCCGCUGGGCACACCCCUUUGCCUUGGUGGUGAAUCGCCAAGGGAAGACACACUCAAUAUCUACUCCAGUGGAUGUCUUGACGUUCCGACGCGGUGGAAGAUUGGACUGGUCUCUACAUGGAACAGGACGGGCAACUACCCCAGAGGGCCAAAUGGCAACACAGCCCCAGGAAGCGAGGGAGACAGACCCCCUCGGGAAAUUAACUGCCCUCGACACCAAAAGGCACUGCCACGAGACCGACCUAAAAGACUCGAUAUAUCCUUUCACUCUGAUAAAAUUGCUUAAGUCACAGAGGCGCUUGCCACAACUAACGCCUAGUUAAUGCCAUGUUCAUAUAUAUACAUGUUCCUAUAUAUCUACUGUUUAAUGUGUAACCUACUGCCAAAGUUCCACGUGGCUGGGGCCCAGACAACCAGAGGGCAUCCAGGACCCUGGACACGCUGGAACUGGGACUCGAUCAAUACAUAUGUCAUGAUAAGAUAUAAGCGAUGUUAAUAUAAGCUAAUGCAAGAUUGCUAAUGAUACCUGAAUUAUGUAUAUCACACGCGCAGAUGGCCUAGAGUCUCGACGGGUCUAGACCACACAACCCCCCAAGAGGUGCCACAAAGAGCACGCGGGAUCCAUAUGAUCCACAGCAGGCUUGACACCAUCUGGUUGCAGCAUGCACGCUGCAUACACACUGUCUAUAGUUUCUCUGGUUUAUGUUUCUUCCCCAAACCCCUCCCCCCCAUUGAGUAUAGGUCCUCAUCACAUCAUUUAAGCCUGAGAAGCUUCCACCCGUGGCUGUUUUAUGAUGGAUAAUCUUAAACUCAUGUCCCUGAAUGUAAGGGGACUUAACACGCCCGAAAAACGCAUAAUCCUAGCGCAUGAACUAGACAGACAGCAGAUGGAUAUAGUAUUCCUCCAGGAAACCCAUUUUAGAGGAGAUCAGACCCCCUUAUUAAAAACUAAAUCGAUGGGACAAUCGUACUUUAGCAAUUAUCAUGGAGGCAAAUCUAGAGGGGUCGCUAUUCUACUAUCAUCCAGAAGAGCAUUCAUGCUCCAAGACAGCAAACUAGACCCACAGGGAAGGUAUAUUUUCCUCAAAGGCAAGAUCAACAAUACCCUCAUUACCCUAGUGAAUGUUUAUGCGCCCAACAACAGACAGGUCCCAUUCAUCAAAUCAUGCCUCAGAAAACUAGAGAACUUUGCAGAGGGGUUAGUGGUGUUAGGGGGUGACUGGAACAUAGUCUUAGAUCACUCAAUGGACAGCACUGCAACAGGUAAAGACACAUUAGCACACCAACGUCUGCUAUUCCAAAAAGCGCUGCAUGCUAACCAACUAGUCGACUGCUGGAGGAUUGCCCAUCUCCAGCAAAGGGAUUACACAUACUUCUCCCAGGUAGCCCAUAGUUAUUCUAGACUGGAUAUGUUCUUGAUAGGACACAAGCACCUGCACGCAUUAGCCUCCUUGUCCUUGGGACCGAUCACAUGGUCGGACCAUGCCCCAAUAUUCCUUACGUUGUCUCUAGACGAGAAGAGUGCCGUAAGCAACUCGUGGCGCUUAAAUGAAUCACUACUAGAUGAACCCAGGGUAACAGAAGACCUGACCAACGAAUUGCCCAGGUACUUUCACGAAAAUGAAGGUAAAGGCACAGCAGAAACAUGGGUAUGGGAAGCACACAAAGGUAUAACCCGAGGGACCCUGAUUAAGUGGGGAGUUUGCAUAAAACAGGAAUGAGUGGCACGAAUCCGAUCCCUAACUGAAGCCAUAUCCAUAGAAGAAUCUGCCCACAAGGCUACCCCCACACCCGACGCAUACAAAACAUUAACAGCAUUGAGAAUGGAACUGCGAAACCUCCUUACAGCGAAAGCCCAUAGGGCAGCCCAGCUGACUAAGGGGACGUACUAUGCUCACGGCAAUAAAAGUGGGAAAUAUCUGUCCAGGGCUCUAAAGGACAAACACCAAAAGACAUACAUUUCCCACAUCACCACGAAAGGUGGAAUACGCCAAGACGCGACAGAGGACAUAGCCAAAACCUUUCAAGACUACUGCAGCGACCUCUACAACUUGGGACACCCACUGAACUCACAACAUAAUACGGCAGCAUACAUCUCGGCCCACACUCACAAGAAACUAGACCCACAACAAACAGCCCACUUAGAAUCACCUAUCCAACCUGAGGAACUCCGGAUAGCAAUACAGACCCUCCAUAAAGGCAAAAGCCCAGGUCCAGAUGGCCUUACGGCCAGAUGCUAUCAGGCCUUCCAUACCUCAUUCCCUCAUUUCUCUUCUGUACCCCCAUUUUUAUGACAAAAACCAAUAAAACUGGAAUUAAACAAGAAAAAGAAUACCCUGCACUCCAACCCUCUCUCAAAUGGAUAAUUCUGUUGAUCCUCCUGACAGCCAUGCUUUAGAUUUUGAUUUAUGUUCUUCCAAAGCUAAAAUCAAAGAUUCCAUCUAGUGCUAUUUUAUGGCUCAGCUGUAUUUUUAAUUUGUAUGUUAUUUUUAGUGAAUUCCCUAUCCACAUUUGUUUGCAGGGCAGUUGUCCAACUCUUACCUGCUUUUUCCUUGCUUUUGCAGCUCUCUAGCUCUUUCCAGGAGUUUUUUAGAGGCAUUUUUGUGGCCAAAAGUUUGGGUCCCCACUGGCUUCAAUGGAGUUCAGGUUCGGAGUCAAGGUCGGGGUCAAGUUCGAGCCCGAACCCGCCGGACCCGAACAUCCAGGUGUCCGCUCAACUCUAGGUAUGUCCAGUCUUUUUUAGUAGCCACUUAGUCACAGGGUUUGGGAAGCAAAAACUUACCAUAACAGGUUAAAAGUCCCCAACACUUUAUGUUGCAUUUGUGGAAUGUCAAGAAAAGAUAUCUUUUGUAUCUCCACAUUGUCAGAUAACCUGUCCAAAGUGCUGUAAUAAAUCAUUCUGACUGUUUCUGCCCACGUGCUGCCCUCACACAGGGUCUGCUUCUCCAUCCAUCCUUCCCCUUGCAGGCCUUGCUUUAGGUUAUACUGAAAUCACACAGGAGAGUUGCCCAGUGUUAGGUUUGCCUAACUAGCGACAUGCAGAGAGCAUCCUUCUUAUCUCUGUGCAAAUUGGCACAGAAUUAACCAACUGACAUGAGGGCAUAAGGUAUUUUUGUUAAUGUCUGAUUUCAGAAAAAUCUCAACAUUUGUUACCAAGCGACUCGCACAAUGUAUAGAUGGAAUUUGAUUCUCAUUUAAGAAGUUGUAUUUUGUCAUGACAAACAGAAUACAAUAAUUGUUUUAUGUAUAUAUCACAUGGAAUAAAAUGGCAAGAAGAAACCACAGCAUAAUUUAUUUGUUUCCAAAUACAAGCUAUAAUAAAAAGAUUUCCCAGGAUUUUCUACUUUGCCCUAUAAAUUUAAAGUCCACUCAUACAUUUUAACUCUGCUUAUUUAACUUCUAUUUAAAUGUGCAAAUAACAUGAAUUUCAUUAUUGUAUGUUCCUUUUUAUAAAUUCUGUUACGGUACCCUCAGCAUGAAAUGUACAAACCGCCAUUUAGUAAAUGCUCCCCUUUCGCAAUAACAUAGGCUGCAUGCGUAUCCAGUAUAAUCAUGCGAACCGCAAGCAAGGGAACACUGCAAACUCACGAACGGGAUCCGUACGGCACUUCACUCCACGAGCUCCAAACUCAUGAAUCGCCAAUAUUAGCAGAACGCAGCUAUCUCCCAAGCGGCUAAUAAUCCCAUCCAGCAGUCUCUAGUCGUCGGUAAUAAAUCCCCCUAAUAACGAGACCAAGCUCCGCAUUGGGGGUAAAACAAGAACUGGCUUUACUGUGGGCUAUCUGCCCAUAUUUAUGCAGAUCUCCCACCUGGUGGACACUCCCCUAGGGGACCACAUGGGAGACUGUGACAAUAGACAGACAUAUGGCAGUUCAGGACCCACAGACACAAAAUAUUCCCAGCAUGCAGUAAUAAUUCCUCCCCUCUGCCCUGGAGAUAAUUGAGAAGUAAUUCAAUUAUCUCCAGGACAGAAGCAAAUCACCAUUUUAAAUUCAACACAGAAAAACAUAUAAAAAUAUAUAACUUUACAUUUGUCGAAUGUUACCCAUUCGUAUCACAUAUCCCCAGACAGCCUGGAUCUGAGUGCACAUUAUUGGCGAAUAGCGCUCAGAUCCCAUAUUCACAGUUCAAUCGCCAUGGAGUCAAAGUCUAUUACAGUCUUUAGGUAUGUGAUUGACUCCAUGGGAAGGCUAUCUGGGGUAAGUCCAUUCGUGCAUUUAAACCUCCCGAAUGGCCCGUGUUCGCACACUUCUGUCGAUUGAGAAGGGAGGUCGGCGGCUUCAGCGGUGUUUGGCUGAAAAAGUGUCAGUUUUCAGUUCCAUGAAAUCAAUGCCGAACACCGCUGGUCUUUCGCAUGGUUUAAAAUGGCCGCCGCCUCGUGGUCGACAUACGAACGACGACCACCCUGUAUUCGGUUUUAAUUGAGAAGUGUCUGUGGUUAACCGCAGCAUUCUAACUGGAAUCAAUAGGUUAACCAGCAGCACACUUCUCUUCUGGGUGGCCGUCCGUUCGGUAGUUUUGUUCGGCGGAAAAGUUAAUUCACGGAACAGGGGCAUACGAAUGGGUAAUUUCGUGAAAAGGCAAAACAGACGAAUCCAGCAAUCUUAGUCUAUACAGAUGGAUCUGUCACACAUUCCCUAAAAUUAUAUGUUGCCAAACAAACCAAUUUGCUGAAUUCAAACACAUCUUAACCCUCACAAGGCUAAGAGAUUUUUUAAAUUGUUAUUUUAGUUGGCACUAUUAAGUAUAAAAUUAAAUCUUUGAGUUUUUGGAGAUUCAUUGAAAGAAUUACUAUAAGCAGAGAAUCCAUCCCCUCUGCCCCCAAUUUCCUUUACAAAAUUUGUAUUAGCCUAUACUAAACAUGUACUAUACAAUUUAUAUGCAUGAAUUUUUAUACCAUUUGCAAUUCAUGACUUAAAUUGUCAGUGUAGUCAACUUUAGAAAUCAAUAUUAAUAAAAUACUUCAUAACAUUUGUCACUCAGAUUUUUACACAUUUUUUAAGGCUAAAAUAGUAAUUAGAUUAAUGAUUUUCAUCAGCUAGACUUUUAUUUCUAAUUUAUUUACAUUGCACAUUGUUGAAUUAGAAAUGUAUAAUCACAUCAUGAAUAAAACACAUAUCAAAGAAUAAAAUAUUGAGAAGUAAAAGUUAAAUUAUAAUAUGUUUCAUUUUUAGUUUGACAUUACCUUGCCACAUUUCAUUCUCUGCAAGAAUCGGUUACUUUAUAAUGUAUCUACACUUCAUGUAUUAGACAUAUCUGAAAUAUAAGCUGAAAAAUAUGAUUAAAUGACUGCUAUCUUCAGUGAUCAAAAACCCCAAGGGCCUAUUAAAUUGAUGAAGUUAAAAACGACAACCCUAAGUGCGAGAUGUUAGAAAAAAUUGUUACGCUGUUGACUAAAGUAGACAGAGUUACUUACAGGGAAGGCUAAUCCAUUCGACCUGCCAAGGCUGUGUUUCACAUUUGAUUAAAAACAUGCCAGUCUGCUCACAUAGAAAAAGCAUGCUACACAACAAAAUAGACCCACUUUCCAGUGAGUGUUUUCUGCGAACCUGUUGGGGCUUGGCAGUAACAUUAAUCUUUUCUUUUCCCCUCAACAGUAAAUCAACAGCAAGGAAAACAUUCUCUUUUCGAAAACCCAGGGGGAGAUAUCCCUGCUGAGGCAAAAUAAAAGAGCUGUGCAUAGGAAAUAGCAUGCUGGCUGAUACGUGUUCAUCUGUGGCAUUUUUACAGAAGGGCAAGAGAAUAGUCGGCUGAGCACCAUUCACUUUUUAUUAUAAAUAUAGAAAAUCAUAUAUAAACUCAAUUCCUAAAGAUAUAUUAAAUAUUUGAGAUGACAAAAUUGUAUAAUUAAAUAAAAAAUUAUAUUUUUUUGUUUAUUCGUGAUAAAUUUUGAUGCAAAGAAUAACUUAUUUUUGCUUUUAGCCAGCCAUGUUAGUGUGGGGUGAACUUGUGUAACUAUAUUGAUCCUAUUUGUUUUUUAAUCUUGUGGCUAUGAGUCUAUUUUAUAAUAUAUAUAAAACAUAAAACAGGGGAAAAUAGCAGGAAGAAACCACACCAGAAUUUAUGUGUUUCCAAAAACAUUCUACAAUAAAAAGAUAGAAUUUCUCAGAAUUUUCUACUUUGCCCUAUAUGUAACCUGUAGAGAAUGAAAAACAAUAUCACUAAAUAUCUCUAAUGCCUUAAGCAUUUGUGUACAGUUUUACUCUAUAUUAUACCAUCCCCACAAAACCUUUAUCUUUUAUAAACAGACAGCUAUGGAGACAUAUACAGCCGAAUAAGACUUGGAAAUGUGUGGAUUUUAAGAUUCUGGCUUUUGAAGAGAAUUUCCUUUCCAACAAAUGAUUUGCCAGCAGUAUUCGUUUGAAGGGGAAUUUGACAUGUUUUCUGUUAGAUAUUCUGUUAGGUGCCAUAUCCAACUGACUUCUUGCUUUUCCAAUUUCGUAACCAUGUACUAAGAGCGUUCUACUUGUAUUUGUUAUUGAAAAUGGCGAUACUGCUUCAUUAUUAAUUUUUAUUAUUAUUAUAUUAAUGCAGUCUCUGAAGCAGGGGAGUCUGGCUUUAUUCCUUUGUCAGAAACUUUAAAUCAUAUUCUAGAUGAAUUAUCUAACAAUGUUCUAGAUAAUACAAUUAAACUGUAUUCUAUAUUAUGCAAAACAAUAUUGUAUAUGAGAGAGGCUACAUAUUAGCAUUUUUAAAUAUGGUUUAAAGGAACACUAUGGUGUUAGGAAUACAAACGUAUUCCUAACUCUAUAGUGCUGGAAUACAUGCUUAGGUCCUCAUACCCCUCUCUGUUUAGACAAAAGGUUUUUUACUUACCGUUUUUCCACUGCUGUGCCGGUCUCACAGCGACUGGCCCGCCUUCAUGGCUGAGAUCAUCAGACUUGAUGACCUCAGCCAAUCCAAUAUUCUCCCAUAGGAAACACAUAUGGUGUUCAGAAUUUUUGGAAGGAGGUAUGUAAUGGAUCUCCCUGUACCUCUGGCUUUGUACCUCCAGCAAGACCACUUCCUAGCUGGAACAGGGGACACACUGCAGCACCUAUGUCCCCAGUCGCCGUGGCUUGACUCGGGUCCUGGAACUGCUCCCUCCUGGAGCCAAAUGGGGGAACUCGCUCUAGCAACCCCCAGGCACUGGACGGCACUCCAUCCUGGGAGCUCUAGUCCUUACAAGGACUAGGAUUGACAAGCUCCCGGAUGUUCUCUGGUUCGUGCGGCUGUUUGGUUCCCAAACCAUAUAGUCCAAAUACACAAACUGAGACUUUUUCAUUGUAUAUUACAGGGCCCAUAGUCUGUGGGCAGGAGGCUGGCAAGCAGGCUCCUCCAGGAGCUCGAAGCAAACUCACGUGAAGCCAUCUGUGCUUGAUGGGCAGAGGCCAGCGGCUCUCUGCCCUGUAGCCAGCACUUCAGCUUGCGUGGCCUGUUUGUCGCCAGGCCCUGGAACUAAUGGGCUGGUAGGGCAGAGGCGAGCUGAGCUCUGCCCUGAUGACAGCUCUUCUGCUGGAGGGAUGUCAGUAGAUGCCGUAGUUCCCUCCACUGCACCCGGAACAGGGUUGGGAAUUGGUUGUAGGAGAGAGGAAUCAACUACCCCAUGUCCCUGGCAUGCCCGCUGUGGCUGGGGAGGGAUGACACCCUCUUCUCCCAGGUUCUUACCCUGUUCUUGGGGAAGACUGCUGAUAACAGCCUCAUCUUGGCCGAGAUUCUGCAGUUGGGGAUCUGGGCAGGCUGUCUUAAACUACAGUGUUGUAGAACUGGAAGUCCAGCGGUGUUCAGGAGUUUCUGUGUCCGUUUUCAGUUCCAAGAACUCAACAACCAAACACUGCUGCCUGCAUUCAUGGGAACAAGAUGGCCGCCACCUCAUGAUCGUCUAUAGGUGUGGCGAAACCGACCUCACCACUGGGCAUUGGAGAAGACUGAUUGCCAGCCUCCUGCCAUGUGACUAUGGCCCCUGGGAUGUAUUGCCCUUUAAAGACAUGAUUUGGGCAUAAUGGAUUUUUGUUGUGCUGCUGCUGGCCCUUUAAGAACCAUCUGGGGACAUACUGUGGAGUUACUGGGUGGCCACCAUUUCCUGUAUCAGAGGCACAUGGUGAGAACAAUGGAUGAAGCAUAUGGUGAGAACAAUGGAUGGCGGCCAUUUUAACUCACAGACACUGUUUGGACUUUUCAACACGGUGCCAUCUCACCAGUAUUUGGUGCACAGAGACAUCGUGCAGUGGUUUUGGACUAUACAGCAGGGGACACAUUAUACAGUGAUUGUUUUUCAUUUAGCCUGUAUAUGUUCUGGAGAAUCUGCAUUAAACUGUAUCUUCCAAAGUACUGAACGGAUCUGGGUGAAUUUUGGAUAUGUGGUUCACCCAGAUCCUCCGGUUCCAAGGAUAUAUUAUGGGGUUAUUGCAUGUUUUGGGGUCCCUGUGAUGUGUUUUAUGAAACUGUAUUUCUCUGUCUGUGAUAAUUAGAUUACCCAUUGUGCAAGGAAAUUGUAUUACAGGCAGAGGGGAGGACUUUGUGUGGGAGUGUCUGUGUGUAUUGUACAGAUUGAUUGGUUGCUCUGUAAAACCCUGUGGGCAGUACUAAGUUUGUGGAUUGGGAAUAAAUGAGGCUGUAUGUGCCAGUACAGUCAGUUCCUGCUUAACCCUCAAAGUGAAGUGUCGUCUCAUUAUUGGGGGAGGAUUUAUUGUAUGCUGUUCCAGUUUGACUGCUAGGAGUGUAAACAUAUUCGCAUGGUUUUUCCUAUUCAAAAAAUACAACAUUCAUAUGCUUGAGAGCAUUCAUAUGCUCCUACAGUUCGGUGGUUUUGGUGUCUGCUGCAGUGCUUGGAGUCCUCAGGAAGUGCUAGGAGCAUUCCUCAACGGAGGUACCCAUUCAGGGUGCCAAGUAAUCCGUUACAAUAGGAAAUAUGGUCACCCAGAUGAACACUGCAGUAGAAAUUGCUGCAAAGUGGUCUCAGGUUCGUGUGGCUGUUCGAUUCCCAUACCAUAUAGUCCAAAUACACGAACAGAGACUUUUACAUUGCAUAUUACAGGGUCCAUAGUUUGUAGGCAGCAGGCAGGCAAGCAGGCUCGUCCAGGAGCUCGUGGCAAACUCACGUGAGAAGGGGAGUUUGUCACAAGGUCUAUAAAAUUAUUUGUUGAACGGUAGACAACCCAUCCCCUUUUAGACCUGUGGCAUUACAUUUGCAUCACACUGCUUUACCAUUUAAGACAUAUAAGAGUUUGCUUGAUUAAUGCUUGCUUGAUUAUUUCUGCCAAAGCAACAAUACUGUAUAUAGCCGAGCCACUCCAUCUCUUCUGGUCUGCUAUGGUGUAGGAGAUUAGACAAUUUGAAAGCGUGUGAUUCUAGUACAAACACAGCACUAUACUAGAAUCAAGCUUUACUGGGUAGAUUAUAUGUUUUCCCUGAUGCACAGGCUCUUUUAACUAAGCAGAGGAGACAUUCAUUUUCCUUUUUCUUCCUUACCUUUUCUCUUUCUUGUACCCCAAUCUGGGGUCCUGUUACACCCCCAUUUUUGUCUUCUUACACAUGGACCGCAUAAUGGAUAUUUAAGCUCUACAGUGCUUUAAUACACCUAAUCAACAGCUACUCACUUACUGUAUAUAAUAUCAUAUUACAUAUUUUUUUUCAUUUUAUAUAUCAUUGCUUCUGGAUCCUAUGCUCUUAUCGCUAAAACUCCAGAAAUGUGUUACUGCUCAUGACCAUUUGCAUAUCGAUCUGCUAUUUCAUGGAUGCUGUCUUCUUUUUCCAUUUUAUUCUCUCAAUAAACUUGGAUUUAUAAACAAAAAUGUAGCGUCAAACAACAAAGGUGUUAUACAUGACUGUCAUUAAUGAAUGUCCAUGGCAAAAAAAUAUCCAUUAAUGAAUCAAGGCCAUUUAAAGGACCACUAUAAUGCCAGGAAAACAUACUCAUUUUCCUGGCACUAUAGUGCCCUGAGGGUGCCCCCACCCUCAGGGUCCCCCUCCCGCCCCGGCUCUGGGGAGAGGAAAGGGUUAAAACGUACCUUUUUCCCAGCGCUGGAUGGGGAGCUCUCCUCCUCCUCUCCGCCUCCUCUCCGCCUCCUCUCCGCCUCCUCUCCUCCCCUUCGGCUGAAUGCGCACGUGCGGCACGAGCUGCGCGCGCAUUCAGCCAGUCUCAUAGGAAAGCAUUUACAAUGCUUUCCUAUGGACGCUUGCGUGUUCUCACUGUGAUUUUCACAGUGAGAAGCACGCAAGCGCCUCUAGCGGCUGUCAAUGAGACAGCCACUAGAGGAUUUGGAAGCUGGAUUAACCCUAUUAUAAACAUAGUAGUUUCUCUGAAACUGCUAUGUUUAUUAAAAAAAGGGUUAACCUUACCUGGACCAGGCACCCAGAGCACUUCAUUAAGCUGAAGUGGUCCUGGUGCCUAGAGUGGUCCUUUGACAAAUCAAAGAAUUUGCUGCAUCAAAUCAAGUACUCUUCCAAGAUGACAUUUUAUUAGGGAUCAAUUGUUUCCUUUAUUCAUUGCUUUUCUUCAAUAAUUUUUUUUUGUUGCCUGUGAUAAAUAUUUUGGCAAGUUAAGUUUGAUUCAAAUUUGUAAAAGAAUUAGCUUUUUAUCCUUCAUUUUGCAAUUUGGUUUUCAGUUCAAUAAAAUUUGGUGAUAGUAAAUUAGCUGUCAAAUUCCACAAAAAAAGAUUCAAAUAAUUGCAAAUAUGCAUAAAACAUUAAAACAAGGCAUAGUAAAUUAAGGACAAACCCUAUCCAAUGAUGAUUUCACAUUUUAAGAUUAGUAGCAUAUUUCAAGGAAACUCUAAGCACCAAAACAUCUUUAGCUCCUACCACACGUCCCUGGCUGGCAGUGACUUAACAGCCUCCCUACAUACUUCCCAAAUAAUAGGUCUAAUGUUUAAAUGUCUCUUAUUAUACAGUGUGUUUACUUUAGAAGUUUGGCUUCUGGUCUGUUAAUUGCCAUCUAGAGCUGGCUGCAGCCUCAUAUGUGUGAAUCAAAGUCAAUGCACAGAGCAAGAUAUUACUUCUAACGAAAACACACUGUGCUGUAAGAUCAGUGUGAAAAUGAAAUAUAUCUUUUUUUAUGGCGGUUGUCUGAGAAGAUCUUAAAUUUUUAUUACAUAUGAUGGAAGUCCAUAUCUUCAUGAUGGGGGAUUAGUUUAGGUGGCUAAGCAUGCAUGUUUAUAUAUUAUAUUGCUCAUAAAGUUGUCUUAGAAACUCCUGUACCGCGGACCGGAGAGGAGCUCGGCCAUGGCUACAGGGAAGGGGAGGUGAGGAGGAGAACAAAUAGAGGGGGGGGGGGGGGGAACAAAUAGGGAGGGGAUGAGGGGAGGAGGAGAGAGGGAGGGAGUAGGAGGAAAUAAAAGGGAGGUGAGGAGGAGAAAAAAUAAGGGGGAUGAGUAGGAGAACAAAUAGAGGGGGAGGGGUUGAGGAGGAGAACAAAUAGGGGGGAGGGGAUGUGAGGAAGAGAACAAAUAGAGGAGGAGAACAAAUAGAGAAGGGUGUAUGAGGAGGAGAACAAAUAGAGGGUGGGGUGAGGAGGACAACAAAUAGAGGGGGAGAGGGGUGAGAAGGAGAACAAAUGGAGGGUGAGGAGGAGAACAAACGGGGGUGAGGAGGAGAACAAAUAGAGGGAAGGGGAGGUGAGGAGAACAAAGGGGGAAAGCAGAACAGUGGGGUGCAAGGAGAACAAACUAGGGGGGGUGCAAGGAGAACAAAUUUGGGGGAGUAAGGAGAACACAGGGAGAGGGGGGAGUAAGGAGAACACAUGGAGAGGGGAUGUAAGUAGAACACAGGGAGGGCGGGGAGUAAGGAGAACACAGGGAGAGAGGGGAGUAAGGAGAACACAGGGAGAGGUGAGUAGUAAGGAGAACACAGGGAGAGGGGGGAGUAAAAGAGGAGGUGAGGAGAACACAGGGAGGUUGAUAGGGGGUGAGAAGAGACCGCUAGGGGAGGGGGGUGAGGAGAGACCACUAAGGGGCAGGGGAAAGCUCUAAGGGACGGAAGGGAGAGCUCUUUCACACUACGCACACACGCACACACACACACACACACAAUGCAUCUCUACACACACAUGCAAACACACACUGAUUCUCUUACAUACACACACACACACACACACAAUGCAUCCCUACACACACAUGCAAACACACACUGCUUCUCUUACGUAUACACAGAAACACAAUGCAUCUCUUACACACACUCAAUGCACCUCUUAUACACACACUGCAUCCCUUACAUACACAGAAACACACCUUGCAUCCCUUAUUCAUACAAACACAGAUUCACACAAUGCAUCCCUUACACACAACCAGAAACACACAAUACAUCCCUUAUACACAAAUACACACUGCUUUCUAUCCCUUACACAAAAACACACUGCUUCCACUACACAUAAACAUACUGCACACACAUUAGAUCCUCUACAAUAACACAUAAUACAUCCCCUACACACUCCACUCCUUGUGAGCGAACUCAUGGGUGGAACAUAUAGGUGUACAUAUGGGUGGGCCUUAUGGGCAUACUCACCGUCAGGCCCUUGGGCCAUGACCUUGAGCUGUGUAAGGGGCCCCAAAAAAUGGAGCUGCAUCCUGUUCUCCCAGAACAUUGAAUUUUGCGACCACAGUUACAAACAGCCUCCAGAGAUCCUGUUCUACACCAGACCAGUGGAGUCAAACUGAAGCCAGAGCCCAUCACCAUCCUCAUCUGGUUGUAAGUAGGCAAUCUAGUAUAUUAUUAGUGACACUAAUCUCUAAUUUACCUAACAUUAAAGGGACACUAUAUUCCCCAGAACCACUGCAGCUUAAUGAAGUGGUUCUGGUGUCUAUAGCCUGUCCUGCAGGCUUUUUAAUGUAAACACACACUGGCGUUAGUUCAUAUGGCAGAUCAUAUGGGUGGGGCAAAAAUCCUUGCACCAGCCCUGCUUUAGGCCCUUCUCUAUGCACUUCUGCGGGUCACGGCCUGAUCUAGACAUGAAUACCAGCACUGUGUUAUCAAACUCGGGUGUGAGUGCGACUUUGUCAGGCAGGAGCGAGCGAGGGUAUUCUGCCCUGAGUUUGGCCUGUACUUCUCUCUCCAGCGGCUUGGGAAGCCAAAAGUGCACAAACUGUGCAAGGUGGUCUGGGAUGGACCACUGCGAUAAUCUCUGGUGCCUGAUGGAAUGUGGAUCGAACAAGGGUUCCCCCAGGUCGUCCAGGAAUACUCCCUCCUCCAUGCGCUUAGGCGGUUGGGAGUCCUGCUUUCAUAAGUCGUCCCCUAGCUCCGUUUCCUUCACAUAGCGGGAGUCCAACUGGGGUAAGUCCUGCCAGUUGUCCCCUUUGGAUGCGGACCUCUCCGCCUGCCAUUCAUCCACCACCACCAACAAACAAGAUGGGUAGGAGUCCUCGUCCGAGGAAUAGGUUUGGGGGGUUCUGGUUUUUCGGUUCUCCGGCGUUUGACUGGAGCCUUGCCCUUAAUUUUAGUCGCUGGGGAAACCGCCCCUUUCCAGUGGCAUUUUGGACCACCGGUUACUUGUCUGGUGACCAAUCGUCAGUGGGUUGGGGCAGCACAUUCAUGAGGGCUUUUUCCACUGAGGCGUUGAUCAAUGCCUGGAGAUCUUGUGACGGUGGGGGUGUGUCACUCAUAUUGAUCAAACUAUCCUGUUAGGGAACAGUGACAGUUAGCUGGUUUAUGCUACUUGCAUGAAAUGCACCCCACUUGGUGCCAGGCUCCUGGUACAACUGGGGUACAACUGGGUACAGAAAUGUGUAAUACUGGGUGCUUCUAGGCGACAAACCAGAGACGUUGGUGCCAAUAUGAGAGGGGCUCAUCCUUUAGUGUACGGAAAGGGGUUUCCCUUGCGUGAAAUGGGAGAUGUGGAAGUCUCAAAUACAUAUAGGGGGGAUACUCUCGGUGUGGGAGGUGGCACCACCGAGGGUUUUAUCCACUUUAGAGUUCCCAGUUGAACGUCAGAGUUGUACCUCUGUGGUUAACAAGUCAUGCAACUGUAGACAGUGUUGAUGAAUUGGGCUAUAUAGGUUGAGAAGAAUCCAACCCAUAUAUAACUGGGGCUCACCCCAGAUGGUGUGCAAUGUACAACAGAGGACACCCACAAAUGUGUGUGAGGUGUAAUAGGUAGGUAUCCCCAUGUCCAGAUCGCUGUAAAACUUGGACUGGAAUAAAAAAAAGAUGGCCGCUGUGACCGUCAAAAUUUAGUGCCAGGCAACCCCACCACCCUCCAAAACCCCCAGAUACCGGGUGACCAAAACAAAGUAAGGACACGAUCGCUGCACUCACGGGGCUCGCCGCUCUACAGAGUGAGCUGGAAAACAGGCAAGACACACAAUCCUGAGGUAGGAGACAGUCCACAGAAGGGGGAGUGUAAAGAAAAGUAUAAAAUCGUUUUCGAGAGGGGACAUUGGUAGUAGAGAAAUUACCCAUAGCACCUGUCUUGCAAAGACUUCUCAUUGAGCUGCAUUAGGAAUACUGUAAUUGAAAAGCAACAGAAAGUCUGGGAUGAGGAAAAAGGGGAUGGUGAAAAUGGGGAUGGCUUGCAAAGGCUGCAGACAAAAGAUCUGCAGCUUUUUGCAAGCUGUUUUUAGAUAUACCACAAAAAAAAAAAGCAUAACUAGAAAGAAAUGCAUGUUUUCAUUGAUGGGUAUAUCUACUAAACUUAGAUUUGUUUUACAUUUUUAUUUUGGUAGUGGAGUGUCUCUUUAAUUAUAUUGGGCCAUACAUUUGUUUCAGUAGCAGUGUCAUUAAUAAUUUUACCACCUUUUUGUUUUGGAAAUAGAUUAGUUGAGGAUGUAUUGUGCCUUGGCUAAUUUGAGUCAUCUGCCUUACUCCUAUGCUAAUCCCUACAUGCUGAAACUCUACCAUUCCAAUCUAGGGCAUAUUAAUUUGGAUCAUCAUGCUGUAUAAAGCCUCAGUUAGCUUUCCUGUAGAAUUAUUCCAUUUAGUUUUAUAUACCAAUUAAGAUAUGUUGAUAAAAACAAAGAGCUAAACAUUAACAGUGAUCUGAAAAAGAUUUGUACAUUUUAGUGCCGCUCCCCAAACACUGCAAUUAAAGAUGCAAGCUGUAGGGUCUGAAUGUGUGUGGCCAGAAAGCGCUGCCAUUAGAUGAAUAGGGAAUCAAUUUUUAGUAUCUGUCUAAAAAACUGUCGAAAAGAUUUCAAGACAUGCCUUUUUAUCUGCCCUCUUCAAUUCUUUAAACAGAGCCCAUAUAGUGACACUAACAAUAUGACCUGUUCGGUUCACUGCAGAUUUGUGAGUUACUUUUUUUUAAUUUGGUGGACUAUAAUUUUUUUUCCCUUUCAGGCAUUUGGAUAAUACAUUCCCUUGUCUACAUGGGUUUUGCUGCAUAUUCUUAGAAGUAGUGACAAUCCAGAAAUAUGAAUGCUUUUAUCACACAGUUAAUUGUAUAAUUUUGCCAUCAUUACAUGCAGUCCUAUUCCAGGAAUCAUUAGGUGUUUUGCGAUAGAUUUCUUUCUGACAUUUGGAUUUCAGGUAUCAUCUGCAGGUGGCAAUAAGAAACAAUAUGGUACGCUUUAUCAGUUCAGCUACAGAAACAAAAGCCAAGGUAAUUACUGUCAUUCUGAGCAGCCAGAGACAUUUCAGGCUGCAAUGGGGAUCCUGACAGCUCUGUCUACCUUACUGUGGUUGAUAUCUGUUACAUGGAACAAAGUAGUGCAUUCUCAGGAUCCUUCAGUAGAAUACAUUAAUAAUAGUGCUUGACGUGUAUUUAUGGCCCCAAUACCUGGCAUUUAAGUGUGCUAUCUUUGUUCAGGUUAUUGUAUUAUUUGAAAAGGACAAAUACAAAUAUAAUGCCUUUCCUUCAUUAAUUACAUUAUGCAAGAUCAUUAAUAGUAAAAUUUACAUUCAUAUGGAAGAUUUUAGCCAGUAUGAAUUAUAAUACAAAUAUGAUAAACAUUCUGCCUUCAUUCAACAAAAGAAAAAUAUAGAUUUAAAAGUCAAUAAGAGCAAUCCAAACAGCCACAGAGGAUACAAGCAGGAAAAGAUAAAGGGCUGUUGCGUCAGAUGAUAAUGGCGUUAAAUUCACUAAACGUGGUAUGUGAAGAGCUGGCAAGAAAAGUGGAGAUUUCAGACCUGCAGCAAUACCGGAGUUGGAGAAUGAUCUUUUGGUCUAAAAUUAAAUUCUGCUGUCGUUUAUUUGCAGUGAUUGUAAAAUUCCAUGAAAGGUGUUGUCGGAAAAUUAGCAAAUUAUCUUACAAAAUUGGUGUAAACUGUAUGUGCUCCGUUAACAUCAUCAACAUUAGCAGCACAGUGCUAAAGCCAUCUUCCUUGCUCCCACUGCCAAAUGAAACAAAAAUGUAACCCUUUCAAUGUCACAAAUGCUGAACUGAACCAUAGCACUGACAGGGCUGCAAUAGAUACAGCAUUUAAAGUAAAGGGUUACAAGUCUCUGAGAUACCCAUAAAAGAAGACAAAAAUUCACCCCUAACAAAACAAGCAGUAUCCACAGGACCAUUGCUGAAAUUAGUGGGAAAGAAAAUAACCUCCUCUUGCAUGAGAUAAGGUGACCUUUUCUAUUAACAAUUAAAAUGGGGUCUGCACUUACCUUUUUUACUGUAAGGACUUGGUACAUUGACUCAUGCUCAGUAUAUGAGACGUGAUUUAUAUCAACACUUCUUCUGCCCAUCACUGUGUACAGUAGAAUUGGGAUAUGAAUGGGCUACAGUAAUAAUCAUGAACCACGAUUAUUGUCUGAUUAUAAAAUAUACCAUUUCCUUUCCAAUAUUGCAAGGUAUAGACCCCAGGACUCUGACCAGAAAGACCAAGGAAUGCUAAGUACUAUGUCCGUACAUCCACCCCCGGUAGGGUUUAACGCUGACAAGGUUAAUUAUCAAGGAAAUGUUAAAUAUGGGAGUCAUGGGGAGGUUUAGUAAAGAUUGUCUUUUUUCUUAGGUUUAGAGCAAUUUAGGGUACCUGUAUACUAUUAGCUACUUUUUUAAGGUUUUCUUUUAUGAUGAAGAGCAAAGGGGGAAGAGUCUUACUAACAAAGAGGAGAGCAGCAACCCUAAGAAGGGAAUCCCUCAAAAACCCUAUUAAAACAGAAAAGAACAGAGGAGUUAAGGGCUGCGCUAUAAGAUCAGAGGACUAUGAAAUAAAAACCAAUAAAUUAAAAUGUAUAAUCAACAAAUAAUAAAACCUGGGUAUAAUAAUAGCAAUUUUUAUAUAAUUGUAUCAUUUAUUUUAUUUAUUUAUCUUAUUGUUCCUACUGAGAGCACUAUCUGCUGUUUCAUAUAUUUUGUGGCAAACGACGGAACCCAAGCCGGCCAGACGGACCUAUCCUUCCAGUAUAUCCUCAAGUGAGGAUUAAACUACCAAGCGCCUCUCACACCUGAGCUGGUCCUAGCUUACAUUUAAGCAACGAAAAGGAACUCAAGCCAGACGUACGGACUGACUAUUCCAGUAUAUCCUGAAGUGGGGAUCAUACCACUAAGUGCCCUUUGUGACGAGAUCAAUCUUGCCACAUUGCAUUGGAGAAGCCUGGUUGCUCGCCUGCUACCUUUGGACUAUGGCCCCAUGUUAAAAGACAUCUUUUCACUGCAGAAAAGACUUAUUCGUGCUUUUAUGCCCGGUGUUCGGUAGAUUCUCAGAUUUACUGAAUGAACUCAUAUAACCCAGAUAGGUUUGCCAUGGAGCCUAUUCAUGUAAUAAAAGACUUUGGCGCCAUGGCAAUUGAACUGUAUGUGUUUGUGGUCUAAGCGCCAUUCAGUAUUAAUGUGCGCUCAGACCUAAGCUAUCUGGGCAUAUGUUGCAUGUCUGUAUUUUAUGUCAUAAAUGUAACCUUGUGUAUUUUAUUGUAUUUACUGUCUUUUUGCUGCCAUGUGUUCAAUGGAGUUUUGCCUCUGUCUUUGGAGAUAAUUGGAUUACUUCUAAUUAUCUCCAGGAUAGAAGACUCUGUGGAACUGGUUUUGGGCAGAAAAGCCAUGCUUCCUUUGGUCACAAAGGACUACGAUCUAUCUUUUGAACCACUGGACCAAUUUGUAUGAUUUUGACGUAUGUUUGUAUUUGGAGUAUGUUGAUUCUGAAAAUGUGAAUGUGAUGCAUACUUUUCAAGUUAUGAAUAAUGUGGAAAAUUGUAUUUCUCUGCUUGUGAUAAUUACAUUACCCAUUGUGUAAGGUAAUUGUAUCACAGGCAGAGGGGAGGAUUUUGUGUGGGAGUGUCUGAGUGUAUUGUAUGUGUUUAUUGGUUGUGUUCCAAAACCCUGUGGGUGGUACUAAUGUGUAAGAAUUUGUACAUAAGCACAAUAAACCCACAGCUCUGUCUGUUCACUGCUUGACCCUCAACACGGAGCUUUGUCUCGUUCUUGGGGGGAUUUAUUGUAUGCUGUUCCAGUUCGACUGCUAGGAGUGUAAACCUAUUCGUAUGGUUUUUCCUAUUCGGCUGUUUACAGCAUUCAUAUGGUUUCCUGUUUGGCGGAUUGGUGUUCUGCAGUAGCUGUGCCUGUGUCUCUGGAAGGGGAAGAUCUACUAAACGGCGGUUUAACCCUUUUAUGCCUGGGGGUGCCGUUACAAUUGGUGGCAAGCGGCGGGAUCGUUCCUACAGCCAGAAGGACAGCUACAGGAGACACCAUUUCUUUGGAUUUACAAGUUGGGGGCAACGCAUGUCCCAGUACAGCGACCCUAAAAGCAACAGAAUGGAACCAGCAGUGUUAUACAAGGAGGAGGUCCUGGAUGGCUGGAAUGCAUUAAGGAAAGGCAUCUGGUACCAGGCCCUAGAUAAUGUACAAUACCAGUGGGGUGAGAGUCUCCCCAGUGAAGAGCAGCAGUUGCAGAAGCAAGUGGCCCUGCGGAUGCCCUUCCUGGGAGAGCAGCCCUUGGAGGAAUGGGUGAAGGAACUAAAGCACCGGGUAUGGCAGGCGCUCUGGUGGUAUAUGGCACAGUAUAUACCCUGGACAGCCGAGCAUGACAAGCCAGAGGGAGAGGAGUUUGAUGUUCCUGGCUUGUUAUGGGAGUCCUUUGCAGAGUCUGACUUCGGGAGCCCUGCGCAAAACAGACUUCAGGACAUUUUCUAUGAGAGAGAGGCUAGGCAUGACUGGGAUGACCCCCAUGAGGUAGAGCAAGACCUGGCUCACCUAGCAACCCUGGAGUGGGAACUGGAGCAGGACUACCGAGAUCUCUUCCACUCCAUUGGGAAGGCUCAGCAGGACAGCAAGGUGACAGAUCCAGUUCCAGACCCCUUCAGCUGGGAAGAUAUUGUUGAGAUUUACUGGGAGGAACCCCAGGCGGCAGGUGGAGAUGGGACCGUGGUCUCUCCACCGGCACUACAGGGAUGCCGGAGCGGUCAGCCCAGAUCCCCAGCGGCUGAUUGAUUUGCAGGGAAUAGAGAGCCGUGUAUCCUUUCCCCAGCGGCAGUGUGAAGUGCAGGGAGUGGAGAGCAUCGUCUCCCUCCCCAGCAGCAGUGUUCCUUGCAGGGAGAGGAGAGCAGUGUCCUCCCUCCCCAGCGGCAGAAUGAGCUACAGGGAUGCUGGGCGGUCGGCUCAGAUCCCCAGCGGCAGUGUGAAUUGCAGGGAAUUGGGAGCCCAGUCUCCAUUCCCCAGCGGCAGGCUGAGUUACAGGGGACAGAGAUAGUUGCUGCUGUCCCCCAGCAGCAGAAUGAAUUGCAGGGAAUUGGGAGCCCAGUCUCCAUUCCCCAGCGGCAGUAUGAGUUAUUGGGAAUUGGGAGCCCAGUCUCCAUUCCCCAGUGGGAGAUACAGCAGGGAAUUGGGAGCCCAGUCUCCAUUGCCCAGCGGCAGAGUGUCCUACCGGGAAUAGAGAGCCCAGUCUCCUUUCCCCAGCAGCAGGACUCUGUAUUGGGAGCAGAGACAGUCUGUCUCCCUCCCCUGCGGCUGGAAGUAUGUAUGGGAGAAGAGCUUGUUACCCCCUCUCCCCAGCGGCAGCUUAAUGUACCCGGGGGAGACAGUAAGCCCCACAGCUGUGCAGAUGGGACCGUGGUCUCUGCACUUACAGCACAGGGGGUAGGAACGGUCGGUUCUGCCCCCCCAGCGACAGGGCUGUUUAGCCAAAGGGGAGACAGUCUAUCUCCAGCAGCAGGGCUGUGUGUCUAAAGGGGAGACAGUCAGUCUCCAGCAGCAGGGCUGUGUGUCUAAAGGGGAGACAGUCGGUCUCCCCCUCCAACAACCAGGCUUCAACCAGGCUACCCCUCCAGUAGCGCUGGCACCAGGGCAGAGUACCGCUGGUCUCUGCCCACUCAGCAACCCACCAAGUCAGCAUACCCGUACCCAGCACAGCCGUGGUGAGGCACCUGGACAUGGACAAGCUUCUCCUCUACCCAGGUGUAGUAACCAUUUAUUGUGGGUGGGCUGUGCUGUUGAUUGUGUUUUGUGGGUGGGCUGCUGGACUAACAAGGGCACUGACCGGCAGGAGGUUAGAUACCCUGUUAGUCUGUUUGGAAAAGGGGAGAGAUGUGACGAGAGCAAUCUCGCCACAUUGCAUUGAAGAAGCCUGGUUGCUCGCCUGCUACCUUUGGACUAUGGCCCCAUGUUAAAAGACAUCUUUUUCACUGCAGAAAAUACUUAUUCGUGCUUUUCUGCCCGGUGUUUGGUAGAUUCUCGGAUUUACUGAAUGAACUCACAUAACCCAGAUAGGUAUGCCAUAGAGCCUAUUCAUGUAAUAAAAGACUUUGGCUCCAUGGCAAUUGAACUGUAUGUGUUUGUGGUCUGAGCGCCAUUCAGUAUUAAUGUGCGCUCAGACCUAAGCUAUCUGGGCAUAUGUUGCAUGUCUGUAUUUUAUGUCAUAAAUGUAACCUUGUGUAUUUUAUUGUAUUUUACUGUCUUUUUGCUGCCAUGUGUUCAAUGGAGUUUUGCAUCUGUCUUUGGAGAUAAUUGGAUUACUUCUAAUUAUCUCCAGGAUAGAAGACUCUGUGGAACUGGUUUUGAGCAGAAAAGCCAUGCUUCCUGUGGUCACAAAGGACUACGAUCUAUCUUUUGAACCACUGGACCAAUUUGUAUGAUUUUGACGUAUGUUUGUAUUUUGAGUAUGCUGAUUCUGAAAAUGUAAGUAUUUAUGUGAAUGUGAUGCAUACUUUUCAAGUUAUGAAUAAUGUGGAAAAAUUGUAUUUCUCUGCUUGUGCUAAAUUACAUUACCCAUUGUGUAAGGUAAUUGAAUCACAUGCAGAGGGGAGGAAUUUGUGUGGGAGUGUCUGAGUGUAUUGUAUGUGUUUAUUGGUUGUGUUCCAAAACCCUGUGGGUGGUACUAAUGUGUAAGAAUGUGUACAUAAGCACAAUAAACCCACAUAGAAACAUAGAAACAUAGAAUGUGAUGGCAGAUAAGAGCCAUUCGGCCCAUCUAGUCUGCCCAAUUUUCUAAAUACUUUCAUUAGUCCCUAGUCUUAUCUUAUAGUUAGGAUAGCCUUAUGCCUAUCCCACGAAUGCUUAAACUCCUUUACUGUGUUAACCUCUACCACUUCAGCUGGAAGGCUAUUCCAUGCAUCCACUACCCUCUCAGUAAAGUAAUACUUCCUGAUAUUAUUUUUAAACCUUUGUCCCUCUAAUUUAAGAUUAUGUCCUCUUGUUGUGGUAGUUUUUCUUCUUUUAAAUAUAGUCUCCUCCUUUACUGUGUUGAUUCCUGUGUUAUAUUUAAAUGUUUCUAUCAUAUCCCCCCUGUCUCGUCUUUCCUCCAAGCUAUACAUGUUAAGAUCCUUUAACUUUUCCUGGUAAGUUUUAUCCCACAAUCCAUGAACCAGUUUAGUAGCCCUUCUCUGAACCCUCUCUAAGGUAUCAAUAUCCUUCUGAAGAUACGGUCUCCAGUACUGUGUACAAUACUCCAAGUGAGGUCUCACCAGUGUUCUGUACAAUGGCAUGAGCACUUCCUCUUUCUACUGCUAAUACCUCUCCCUAUACAACCAAGCAUUCUGCUAGCCUUUCCUGCUGCUCUAUUACAUUGUCUGCCUACCUUUAAGUCAUCAGAAAUAAUCACCCCUAAAUCUCUUUCCUCAUAUGUUGAGGUUAGGACUCUAUCAAAUAUUCUGUACUCUGCCCUUGGGUUUUUUCGUCCAAGAUGCAUUAUCUUGCACUUAUCCACAUUAAAUGUCAGUUGCCACAAUUCUGACCAUUUUUCUAGUUUACCUAAAUCAUUUGUCAUUUGGCUUAUCCCUCCUGGAACAUCAAUCCUGUUACAUAUCUUAGUAUCAUCAGCAAAAAGACAUAUACCAGUGAGACUGUUCCUAUUAAUUUUAUGUUUAACUCAUUUUUUUAUCAUCUGACUUUUAUUUUGAAUAUUUGGAUGAACUUUGUUUUCCUACAUAAUAUUAUUGCUAUAGCAAUUUUUAUAUAAUUGUAUCAUUUAUUUUAUUUAUUUAUCUUAUUGUUCCUACUGAGAGCACUAUCUGCUGUUUCAUAUAUUUUGUGGUAAACAACGGAACCCAAGCCGGCCAGACGGACCUAUCCUUCCAGUAUAUCCUCAAGUGGGAUUAAACUACCAAGCGCCUCUCACACCUGAGCUGGUCCUAGCUUACAUUUAAGCAACCAAAAGGAACUCAAGCAGGAUGGACGCACCGACUAUUCCAGUAUAUCCUGAAGUGGGGAUCAUACCACUAAGUGCCAUUCAUCCCAGAGCUGCCCCUAGCUCCACCAAAUGUGAGUUCAUUAUCCUCUUUUUGAUUUAUUUUCCACACCUAGAUCUACAAAAUUUCACCAUUGGAAGUAUUUCUUUUGUCUCUUUUUUAUCUUCACAUAUAUGGACUAUUUACUACACGGACGGAUCAACAUCUGAGGAUUAUAUCCACACCAUCACUAUAUACCAGUGAGACUGUUCCUAUUAAUUUUAUUUUUAACUCAUUUUUUUAUCAUCUGACUUUUAUUUUGAAUAUUUGGAUGAACUUUGUUUUCCUACAUAAUAUUAUUGCUAUUAUUAUACCCAGGUUUUAUUACUUGUUGAUUAUACAUUUUCAUUUAUUGGUUUUUAUUUCAUAGUCCUCUGAUCUUAUAGCGCAGCCCUUAACUCCUCUGUUCUUUUCUUUUAUGAUGGUUUUAGUAAAAUAAUAAAAUAGAUUCUGCCUUUGCACAUGUCCUAGGGAGAGUUGAUGUUUCCCAUAAUAGCUUUAAUGUGGCUUUGAGCUGUCAAAAUCAUAGCAGAACCGUGAAAUGAUGUCAUAUUUUCUCAUUGUAGAAUAUAUGCUCCUUGUAAAAAAACAAACGUAAGAGUCGGGUAUACAAUAGAUUUAAAUUAUUAAUUAGAAGUAAAUAUAUUACAAGUUGAACACAUGCAGAAUCCCUUAUUAUAAAAGAGAUUACAACAAUAAAAUAUAAAAAAUAUCAAAAGGGUGAGCCAAGGCAAAAAAUAUUGGUGUUAUAAAAAUAGAGUUUAUUAUUAUAAGCAUACAAUGGCGUCUACGCCACAUAAUGUCUACUAAGAAAUCGCAAUAUAGAUUAUAGUAAUACUGACCAGAGUAGAUAGUUCUCUGUAAUCAGGGUACAGAUCAACACUGAGUACUAUCAAAUGAUAAGCACCGGUACAUGUAUACAACCAGACAAAGAAGCUGUGAAAAUUGAGAAUUUCAAUGCUAAUUAAUUCAGCUUUAACCAUUUUAAUGGGCAGUACAAUUUGAGACACAUUUUAAUUAUGUUGUGGGGGGAAUAACAGACAGUAAAUGAAUACAAGCAAUUUCCUAUUUCCAGUGCUAAGGUGUUACUUAUUAUUUUGUCAAGAUAGACAGAUCAAUAUUGAUCAUUCAAAUAAUUUGUCAUGUAUUUUGAAUCGGCUAUAGCAGUAUUGAAAUGAUUUUGUUUCUGCUAUAUGCAUUUCGACUUGGUUUUUAGUUAGUAUUGUUAUUUAUGCACUAAUGUGAUUUUAAAAUGCACUUGAAGUACACUUUGUUCAUUGAAGAAAAUGUUUAUAAGUUAGUUAGGAUAGACUGGCUCUGUAAUUUUCAGAAGAGUAUUUGAGGUCAUAGCGGAGUCAAAAUACAAGUGGGCUAAUUCUUAAACUGGCCCUGUGUGCAAAAUACCAAACAAAAACACCAAAUACUAUUUUAUUGUUCUUUUAGAUUCUAUUGCUUCCUUCCCCUCUCGCCAAGGCUAUGAAGUGAAUUAAUUACUCUAAUUAAAAUGACACUUUGUUUUAAGAUUAGAGAUGUGCAAAAAUAUUAAUAUGAAAUGUAUAUUGUUUACUCUAGGAUGGAGACACUUUGUGGACGCAUUCUCUUUUCAACAGCCCUGACAUCUACAUUCUCAACCAACAAGCGACAUGCUAUAAAUUCUGUGACCAUACAAAACCCAAUAAUUGCUGCUGGAGCUGUCUCAAAAGGCUUGAGAUGCAUUAUUAUAACCUGAUGUUUCUAAUUUAUCUUUCCCAUAAUCGUUUUGUAUUAUCAUGAUUCUAAAACAUAUUAAUAUCGUUUGGAUUUUUUUAAUGCCUGUCUGUAGAGCAAUAAACAAUCUAAUCUUGGUUGCUAUGAAACAUUCAUAGUGAUAUCUAUUUGAUCGUAAAAAGCUAAUUAGUAAAGAUUUUCUUUUGUGUUAAUGAUGUGCAAUUGAUUAUAGCUGGAGGAUGCAAAGAGACUGGAGAUUUUUUCCAUAAUGAGUGUUACAUAUCAUCCCCUAUGCACUAUGCAGCAAUGCAAAAGUAAUGUCAUUUUUUAUGACUUCUUUUUAUGAUGCAGACAAUGAGUACAAUCUAUUCAUCUUGGUAUUCUGCCAUAGCCCUUUGUAGAAAGACAUUGUUCAACCCCUCCUGGGAGCCUAAAGUUAUUGUCUACCAAUAUCACACCUAAAUGAGGUGCCUUAAUAGCCCAGUGGACAUCCGUUUAAUUCUGUCAGUUAACAUAAAUUAUC